AAAAACCUUAAACUGUUUAAUUAUUUUAUGAGACCAUGAAACUUAUAGACUAUAAAUAUACCAAAUCAUAUACCAUUUGUUAUAUAAAAAUUAAGAGGGAAAGAUAUGGUUGAAGCUCUAAAACUUGUUAAUGUUUUAAUUCUAUUUCUUUCCAUAUUUCUAUCCAUAAUAGUAUCUACUUCUUCCUUUCCCUGGAAGCUAUAUCCAUGUGUAACAGAUAAAGAUUGUCCAAGAAAAAACAGGCAUGUUGUUAAGUGUCGUAAAGGCUAUUGUGUAGGGGUGCAGAUAAUCUGAGGGACAUCAAAGAGCUGUCCUACAAGAGAAACAGUGUUCAUCUUGAAGAUGCAGUGUCAUAUCUAUAAUGAGUUUGGGUUAUGUUGGCUUAUAAUUAUGUGUUUGCAUUAAGUUGUUUUAUCAAUAAAGUAUGUUUUGUUGAGUAUUGUCUUGUUAUGUUGGUUGCUUUGGAUAACUUGGACUUUUAUGUUGUGUUGUUUCCUUUGGGAUAUGCUUUAUGUUGUUUAUUUAGACUAAUGAAUAUCAAAAUUAUAUUGGGGUAUGUUGGUAUGGUAUUUUACUUCACGUUGUUCACUGAUUAAAUGUUUAAUUUAGUAUUCAAAUCUUUAGUACAUGCAACUCUACAUUAUUAUUUUUUCCCAAAACUAGUUAAUGUAAAAAAAUUUGGAACAACUAUUUAAACAUAUAUUUUGCAACAACUAUUUUAACAAUUCUGUGUAUAUGAACAUGUGUUUUGAAUUUUUUUCUUCUUUUACUUUUAUGAAAGUGCUCCUAUACACAUAUGACUGUCAAAAUAAUUGUUGCAAAAUAGAUGUUCAUAUAUCAUUUCUUAAAUAUAUUUUUUUUAUUGAAAGAAUAAGAAUCAUUUCUCAAAUAUUUUAAGUGCAAAAUAAAUGAAUACAAACGUAUCACACCAAUUCUAACAAAACUACAAGGAGAAUUAUUAAAUUAGAGUCAAAUACUAACACAUUGUCUACUGCAUCGCUUUGAUCAAAGACAACUAUUAUGAGCAAGGUUGAUAAAAGAGCAAGGCCAUCAAGACAAAUCACCUUAGGGUUUACAAAAAUAUAAAAAAAGUACAAUAAAAAGAUCAAAUAUUCUUCGAUUAGAUAUUAAAAAUACUUUAUCUUUAAAUUUAUCAUAUGCCCUUUUAUUGUAGAUGUUUUAUUGAGGUUGUAUUGAAGUGACACAUAGUUAAAGCUUAUGGGAUGUCGAAUGUAUAUAUGUGGCUGCACACCCUCAUUUUUAUGUGUUAACUUUUGAGAUUGAGAUCUAAGAUCUUUAAUAUAUUGUAUUAGAUAUGCAUUAAGGAUGUCUGUAUGGGGAAUGGGCUCAGAAGCCAUGCUUGACGUGAGAACGAGUAUUGAAGUUGUAUUGAAAUUUCACAUUGUCAAGAUUUUGAGACUAUUAAAUGUAUAUAUGUGAUUACACAUCCUCAUCCAAUGAACUAACUUUUGAACUUGAGAUCCAAACUCAUAUAACUCAUCCUUAUUAAUAAUUAGCUUAAAAACAAAGAAAACAAACGCCAACAUAGUUUUAGAAGAGUUGUCAAUAUGAAUCUUCAUUAGAAGAAAAAUAUCGUGGGUUAAAAAACUUUCCAAAAAGACCAUCAAUCAAUUUUAUUGGGCCACUCUAAAACGCAACUCAACCUAAAUAAUUAAACUAAGAUAAAUUCUCUUAAGGCCCCUUCAAUUGCUCACAAAUAUCUCAAAGUAGUAAAAAUAACUUUAUCAUAUCCCAAUUCUCGUUCGCUUGUAAUUAGGAGAUAACACUCAAUCACUAAUUUUAAGAUCGGUUCUCGGUUUAACUGAUUGAACAAAGUAACCUUAUGUUUGGUCACAUUUGUGGAACUUAAAAAAAAGUAUGACUUAUUAGAGCGGUUAAAUACAUAAUCGGUCUAAAAUUCCUUUGUUGAUCUAUUUGUAUACAUUUAUUCAUAUUCUUAUUUUGGAAACACAUUAAUUCUUUAUUUUUAAGAAAUUAUAACGUCUUGGUAAAAAAAUAAUGACUCUUUCUAGUCUCAUCCCAUAUAAUUCCAGUUACACCCAAAUUUAUUUAAAAUUUUACAAUAAUACCAAAAUUGCCCCCUCCAUCUAAAUUUCUAAAGACACUUCUCUCAUUAUCAUUCUGAAAUCUGAUUCCUCACUCCUCUUUUACCCACAAACCACCAUGGAUAUGCAAUCAAUAUCUACUAUGCCAAUUGAAUCAACAUCUCUUCCAUUGAUACGUACUCGAUUCAUACAAGUAAGUGAAUUUCAUAAAUUUAUUCGAGUUUCUAUUUUAUCUGCUCUAUGAUUUAUUCGAUAUUGUUAAUUUUACCAAGGAUGUUUGUAGUUGUUGUUAAUUUCACGUUUGUCUGUCGAUUUGUUUGAUUUAAGUUUAUGUAGAAGGGUAACGUAAUUUAAGUUUACAUAGGUCUCACGUGAAUUUAGUUUACGUACAUAUUCUAAAAAGGAAUAACAUACAUGUAAAACUCAGUUUACGUUGGUAUACUUAACUUAUGUAAACUCAGUUUACAUGGUGUAUGUAAACUCAGUUUACGUAGUCCAUGCAAACUGAAUUUACAUAUACAUAAUUAAUGUGCUUGAACACGUGAACAUGAAUAAUAUCAAGCAUAUAAUUCAAUAAUUACAUUUAACAACAUAAAUAACUUCAUCCAUUAGCAAUAAUAAUUCUUCAUGUAAUAAUUCUUAAUAGUUCAACCAACUUCUAAUUAUCAUUACUUCAUAUUCAUCACAUUAUAAACAUCAUCAUAUAACACAUAUUAACCAAAUCGUAACAAACAUAGAUCAUCACAUCAUAGUCAUAGUUCAUAUAUAACAUAACAACAUCUUAAUCCUAAUUCAUAUACAACAUAACAACAUCAUUAAUUCAUAAUAAUAAUUAUUCAUCAAACGUCUCAUUAUCAAUUCAUGAAUAAAAGACAACUUAUCAACUUAACAUAAACAUCAUCAAGUACACUUAACAACUCAUAGAUAUCAUCAUGUAAUCAUCAUCACUAAUAACUUUAAAACAACACAAUGUAAUCAACAUCUCACUAUAAUAAUAAUCAUAUACGACACAACAUACUCAUCGCUUAAUAAUAAUAAUCAUAUACAAUACAACAUAAAUCAUCAUCUUAUAAUGACAUGAACAACACAUAUUAAUCAUCUUAUAAUAAUAUAAUAACAACAUAUACAUCAUCUCGUCAUAAUAUAAUAAUAUAACAACAACAUAACAUAAUAUUCUCUUAAUAAUAAUUAAUCAUAUAUAGUACAUCAUAUUCAUCACUUAAUAAUGACAAUUAUAUACAUCACAACAUAUAGCAUCAUAAUAACAUCAUAUAAUCAACAUCGUAAACAACAUCAUAACAUUAUAAUCGGUAUGAUAUACAACAUCAUAACAACAUAACAAUAUCAUAAUCAAUAUCUUAGACAACAUAGCAACAUAACAAUAUCAUAAUCAAUAUUUUAAACAACAUAGCAACAUAAUCAAUAUUUUAAACAACAUAGCAACAUAACAAGAUCAUAAUCAAUAUUUUAAACAACAUAGCAACAUAACAAGAUCAUAAUCAAUAUCUUAAACAACAUAGCAACAUCUUAGUCAACAUCAUAUAAUUCACAUCAUAUAAUCUUCAUAGGUACUUCUUUAACAACACUUAGGUAUAAUGUAACACCCCGUUUUCCCAAUAUCAAAAUUUCUUAAAACAUAACAUUUAUCAGAGUAAGCAUCAACACAACGGGAUAUCACAUAUAACGUAAUCCAACAGUUAAAUAAUAAUUUAACCAAUAACUUAAACAUUGCAGCGGAAAAUCAUAAACAUAGUUCAUAAAAUGUUUUGGCACGCAGGCCCCAACAAAGUAUCUCCAAAGAGUUAAUCAAAACAGAAAUUAUCAUAGCAGUUCACGUAAAAGAAUGAAGCAUGUUAUAGCAUAUAACCCCAUCCCGUUACGUAUCAGAGCGACCUAGACGACACAGUGAGGCAAGGCCACUCACAGAAGCAACUGCACACUAAACACGAUCAUCUGCAGGUUACCCAUACGAAGGGCAACAUUUUCAAGCAGAAGGGGUGAGAUUUCAUAACAAAAUAACAUUAAUCAAUGUAAUUGCGAAUCAUAAAUUAACAUCAUAAUCAUUUCAUCAUUACUAAACAGUUAUCACAUAAUCAUAUAUUCAAUUAUCACGAACAACAUAACAUAAUUGAUAAACACUUAUCACGUAAUCACAUAUUCAAUCAUUAUCAACAAGGCAUCUUAAUCACGACAAUGCGACAAUGCUCUUAGACUCCUUAUAUGCAUGUGGUACCAAUCGUCAUCAUAAGUAUUAAUAUACUUUAAUCGUGCGGAGGACAAAGCUCCUAUAAAACGUGCGGAGGACAAAGCUCCUAAUAAUCGUGGUGAGGACUAAGCUCAAUGAGAUGCUAUGCAUGGACACUUAUGAACAAAACAUCGUAAUCAACAUAACAACAUGUGUCCAAUAAUUUGGAGUUAACUUCAUCAUAUACUUAUGCACUUAGUUAAAUAACGGAAGCAGCAUAAACAAGUCACAUAACAAGAUGAUAUCAUUAUAUCAAUAGCACAUAAAUGGCAUUAUUUUCAAACUUUCAUAUCUUGCAUGAAUAUACAAUACAUUAGUUCAUGUUCAAUUAAUAUCAACAUAACUUAACCAACUCUACAGACUGCAUUUAACGACAUCACUAGGUCUCAUUACCAGUUAGGGGUUCACUCUUGAUCAACACGUGCGACACAGAUCGCACAAACACUCAAGCAACUAUAUCCUGGCUGUGCUCGCGAGGCGAGAGUUCUUACUCGCCGUGUCGAGUACCACUCAACUCCCAAACUAAGCUUGUUCUGGGUUCCCUCUGAUCCUACAUUCAUUCCUAAUCAAUACUAGGUAUGUUCAGGCACUCAAAGGCACUCAAGGUCUAACUAAAAAGUCGAAAACACAAAAUCUAACAUACACUCUGCCUUAGCUCGCUGUGGCGAGUAAGGUUGCUCGCAGUGGCGAGCUGCGUCACACAACUCGCGAGGCGAAGGGAAAUGCUCGCCAUGGCGAGUUGUACCAAACAACUCGCGAGGCGAAGGGGAAAGACUCGUGUGGCGAGCGAUGAAGUUCAUCACUCGCGAGGCGAGGAUCAUAGCUCGCCGUGGCGAGCGAUGAAUUUCGCUACGGCCAGGUUUCCUAAAAUCACAAAAAUCUGUCGAUCCACAUGGUUCUAAGCUUGUUUUUGAUUCCAAAGUUCGUCCUAAACAUUAUUUAAGGUCUAGGAACACUUUCUACAUCAAUUAAACCAAUUCUCACCGUUUGAUCAUCAAUUCUAAGGUUUUGACCUAAUUCCAAAACUUCUCUAAACCAAUCCUAACUUUAUCAAUUAAUCAUCAGAAUUACAGCAAUUAACGUUAUUGAAUUAUUAGUCUCACCCUUACCUUGAAUUGAAGAAAUCGCAGCACUCCCUUAGGUUCCUCUAGACUUGGCUUUUUCUCCCUUUUUCUCCAAAACGUACGUACAACAAAAUGUUUUCUAAAACUAGGUCUAGCCUUUUUAUAUCUCCUCUUAAUUACUUAUCUUAUCUCACUUUCUCCCCCAAAACUAUCUAAAAUAUCAAAACAGCCCUCAACUAAAUAUUUUAUAUUAUUUUCAAAUCUUUAUUCUAUUUAACAAUAAAAUAAAUCUCAUAACCUUAUCAAAUCUUCCAAAACUCAUAACUUAUCACGUCAUCAAUUAAAUCAUCAAAAUCAUCGUAAAUCAUCAAAACAUAUCAAAAUCAUGCUUAUACUAUAUAAUUAUAAUAUAAUCGCCUAAACUCGAUUAAAUAAACGAUUAAACGAAAGUGGGCGUUACAUAUAAGACUACUCGACAACUCAUAGAUGAUAAUUCAUCAACAACUUAACAACUCAUGGAUGAUAAUUUAUCAACAACGACUUUGACUCGACAAAUGCGACAAUGCAAUUUAGACACUUAUAUGCAUGUGGUACCAAUCAUCAUCAUAAGUAUUAAUAUACUUUCAUCGUGCGGAGGACAAAGCUCCUAUCGUGCGGAGGACAAAGCUCCUAAUCAUGGUGAGGACAAAGCUCAAUGAAUGCUAAUGCAUGGACUCUAUCAACAAGACACCUUAAUCAACUUAUCACUUAUACAUCCAAUAAUUUGGAGUUCAUCAUCAACUUAUUCAUACUCAUACAACUUAGUUAAAUAACAAUUGCAGCAUAAUCAAAUCACAUCAAGCUUAAUAACAAUUCAUUUCAACAACAUCUUGAUCAUUCAAUAAUAUUUCGAGUAAUGCAUUUAAUCAUUAAAUCACAUUACAAACAACUUAGCAGUUCAUAACAGCAACAAAAACAGCACAAACAAUUCACAACAUAACAAUAUUAAUGUGAAGCAUCAACAACUUAAACAUCAUACAUCUUCCACAUAAGGCAUAUAAAUAUUUCACAUAACCAACAGCAGCAACAUAGGCGACACGUAAACAUCUCAAGAUAUAACAAUAUCAAAUGAUAAUCAACAACAACUUAAACAUCAUAUAUAAUUCACAUAAUGCAUAUACAAAUAUAUUACAUUACUAUCAACACUAAAUCAUAUUAUAAUAGCUUCACAGAUCAUCAGUAAUAUUAUAUUCAACCCACAUUCCUACCCCGACACUAAAUAAUAUUAUUAUACUCUUAAACACCUUAAUUGAACUCAUAGAACUUCUAGUUUUGAGGGUUGGUAUUAUCCCAUAAGUUUUUGAUUAACUUAGAAAUGGUUAUGCUGAAUUUUCAUAAGAUUUCACUGUGACCUACGUGGAGUAAUUUGAUCAUAACUCAAGUUCUAUAAAUCGUUUUGACGUCAGACCAAUGGCAUUAGAAAGCUAACAUCCAUACCUAUAACUUUCGUGUUUACACCUAAGACGAAUUCUGUACCAAUCAAUACCAGUUUUCAUUUCAAAUUCGGACAAAGUUGUUCUGAAAUUCAUAAAAAUUCACUAAGACCUCCUUGGAGUAUUUUCAUCAUAUCGCAAACACCAAAAAUCAUUUUCAUGUCAAACCAAAGCCACUGGAAAGCUAACACAACUAUCUACAACUUUCAUGUUUGCACCAAAGGCCAAUUCAAAACAGAAACAUGUGAAAAAGACGCAAGAACGCGAAACAGGAAAUGCUGUCAAAGUGCAGCUCACGAGGCGAGUAAGUGUACUCGCUGUGGCGAGUUGCGACAGACAAAUCUACGGGAACAAACUAGUUUUCACUCCAAAACCCCAAUUUCAUCAACCCAAAUCCCAAAUUUGAUAGGAAACUCAACCUAUGUUUAUUCUACAGCCUGAACUUCAAUUCUUAACACAAUUUCAAUGGUUUCUACACUUUUCAAUUCAAAAAUCAAUAAUCAAAACCUAAUCCCAAUUAUCUAACCUAAGAACAACAACAUGUUAAAUCAUAAAUUCAGAAUCAUAGGCUUAAGAAGAUUGAAUGUUAGUCCCACCCUUACCUUAAUACACAAAAUCGCAGCCCUCCUCUUGGUGUUUCCUCUUCUCUUGACUUUUUCUCCCUUUUCUCCAAAAACUGAUCGUACGUACUGUUUUUAUAAAACUAGGUCUUCUCCUAUUUAUAUAAAUCAUCAACCGACUUAUUUUAUCUUAUUCCACUUACACCACUAAACUCUCUAAAUUCAUGAAACAACCCUUAACUAAAUAUUUUAUUUUAUUAAACCAUAUAAUAAGCUACCUAAUAAAUUAUAUAAUCAUAUAAACAAACAACAUAUAUAUCUCUAUAUCGUAAAUAUAUAUCCACACUAAAUAACAUUUAUUUCUAUAACAAAUCACAUUUAUUUCUGCAACAAAUCAUAUAUAUUUAUAUAACAAAUAACAUUUAUAUUUCUAAACCAAAUAACAUAUAUAUAUUUCUAAAUCAAAUAACAUAUAUAUUUCUAAAUCAAAAUAGCAUAUAUAUAUUAUACUAAUAAAUACCAACAUAUAUCAUAACAAAAUAUCACUUAUCAAAAUAAAUCAUACAAAUCAUAUAAGUAUAUUCUAAACUCAUUAAAAUAAUCAAAUAAUUAGAGAGGGCGUUACAUCUCCCGUAACCAUAGCUUGGAAAAUCCGCUCCAUCCCCUGCACCCAAGUCUAUGCUCCCUCUGGGUCGAAUCUCCCCUUGAAAGUUGGUGGAUUGUUCCUCAAGAACCUAUCGAGCCUCCUCUCUUCGGCCUCACCUUCAUUCCUACGGUUAGCCACCGCAUUCUCAUUCGCUUGAGCCAAAACUUGUGCCAUAGCUGCUAAAGCUUCCGCAAUCGCCGAAUCAUCACGACCACCUGCCAUCUCAGCACUACACAACCAUCUAACCGAUAAGAAAUCAACACAGCAAAGCAAAUGUCGAAGGUACUAAGCUACCAUUCGCACACAACAGGGAAAAAACAACAAACAUAAGUCUAGACACUACUGACCGUGGCUCUGAUACCAACUUGUAACACCCUACUUCUAUUAAAGCAAUUAAACUGCGAAUAAUACAAUUAUUCAAGAAAUAGAGGCUACGCCACAUUCAAAAUUCAAAAACAAUAAUAAUGUAUAUAAACCUCAACAGUCGCAGCGGAAUAUAAACCAGAGUAAAUCCAAAUAUACAUGUCAAUAAUCAAUAAAUUACAUCACAUAGAUGCAUCUCAAUAAUCCCAACAAACGGAUAAAUCUCCAAACAUAACGAAUAAUCCAAAACAAAAUAUCUAGACUAAGACGGACGCCUAGAUCAGAGCCACCUAGACUCUAAAAACGCCGAUAUCGGAGAAAGCUCCCGAUAUCACCAGCACAAACUCACCGAGCACUACUCCUGCACAACGUCUACUCACCCAUACAGGCAAGUAGGCGGUUAAAACCACUGGGGUGAGUAUUUGAUGAGAUAAAACCGCAAGUGCACGGUUCUAUCGAAGUAGUAAAAAUAGAGUAUCGUUCCGACAGUGAGUUAUGAAUUCAAUUAACUUUAGAUAAUGAUUAGACUGAAAGUUUAGAAGGUAGAAAGUUUUAUUUUUAAUUGAAAGAAAAUAAAAGAAAAGAAAAGAUAAAAGCCUUGGGAUUAUUGGUUCAUCCUAAUGACAAGUCCUUCACAAACCAAACUAUUAAACUUAUAACCUUAUGUUAGACCUAAUUUCUCAAGACAGAUUCUCUUUUGUUCAACUAGCAACCAAGCCUAUUUCGCUGACUUGAUUACUAUUAGAUUUUGGUCCUAAGUUGCAACCAAGCCUAUUUCGCUGACUUGAUCACAAUUUAGAAUCCUUGAAGUUCGAAACUAUAUGUCUCAAAGAUUGUAAAGACUAUUUCGCUGCCUUUACAAUCUUUGUCUAAAUUCACUUGUUCGAAUAUCAAAGCUCCACUUUUGUUUUAUGAAUUGAUAUUUGAGAUGAUGGAUAAACAAUUAUCAAACCCUCCACUUUCGUUGCCACAGUUUGAUAAUGGUUGAUCCAUGUUAAAGCGGUGAAUUUAGAUAAGGAAUUAAGGUUACAUAAGAUUAAGGUUUAAAGCUUGGUUUGAUUAGGAUUAUGUCAUUUAGACUUAUCCAACAAUCCCAAGACAAGAGAAGUCUACUCACUAACGUUCAUUGUAGACAAGGAGAAGAAGAGAGAAAGUAUAAAAGUAAAUAACAAGAAAGUAAAAUGAACUUUUAUUAGAAAGACAAUUGUCACAUAUUGCAUUCCAAAAAAAGAUGAAUAUUUGUGAUGGAUGGCUACUCUAUUUAUAGCAUUCAUUCGACUUAAAAUCUAAGCAAUUACAUUCGGGCUAAAAAUAGAGUAGCUUAAAAUCUAAGCAAAAGCAGCAAAAGGCACUCUUGAGGGUGGCACGGCCGUGCCAAUGCUAGCACGGGCCGUGCCAAGCUUCUGACUUUGGGGAGACAUAUUUUUGUCUCUCAAUCUUCAUAUUUUUGUACCGAAUCAGCUCCAAGUCCCUUUCUUUUGCUCCAAGACUCAAUCCAUCCAAUAUCAUUCCUGAAAUAUAAUAAAAUGCAAUUUGUAGUAAACUAUCUUAAAAAGGAAAUAAUAUUAAUAUAAAAUAAACUAAAAUCUAAUUAAAACUAAACUAAAUAAUAUCUAGAAAUAGGUAAUAAAUGACUCAUCAGUAUUACAUCAACAUAAUCAAAAUAACAGAUAAGCAGGAAUAGCAUACUCCAAUAUCAUGUAAUGAAUAAAAAUAGAUAAGUUUCAUACAUACUCAUUCACUACAAUCCAAGUCUCACCGACAUAUAUUCAACGAACAUAUCAUCACCAAUAAGCAUCAUUCACAAUUACCAAUCGCGAUUACUCAUAGAUGGUCAUUAAUCACAUUUCAUCAAUCAUCACUAAUCACAUAUAUCAAACAAGACUCAUGUUAUGUUAUGCACUUAUUGACACAUAAAUGCAUGUGGUACCGAAUCUCCAAAAAGGUCGUCACAUUCGAUGAUAAAACACAUUGUAUGUAAGGGUUCACACCCGCCUUACAUAAUCUCCGAAGUAAAAGAGCCAACCCUUUUACAACUACACGACUAUGAUGCAUGGACAUGUAACAAGACUCGAUAAUGCGACAACAAUCACAAUUUUCUCCACAAUAUAUAGGACGACACCCAAUUAUAUUGUUAAUCUCCACAUCAUUUGCAUUAUCAAGAAAACAUGCUCAUAUACAAUUCAAAUGUAUUCAUCAUUACACCUCAACAUAUUUAUCAAUAAUCAACAAUGUCAUCCAACAUCAAUUACAUGAUUUUCAAUAAUCAACAAACAUCACUUAUCACAUAUGAUUUUACCAAUUCAAGAAUUCUCAUAUUCCAAGCAAUUAGCAUAUGUUUAUCAUGAUAAUCACCAUAUCUCAAACAUAUACAUGCAUACUCAAUUAUUCACUCUAAGUACUUCAUUAACCCAUUAUUAAGUUUUGGAAAAGUUCCACGGCUCAAAGAAAAAGUUAUGAUAAUUUUUAACAAAAAUCCACAUGACUCAUGUGCAGUAAAUUAUUCAUAACUUGAGUUAUAAAAAACAUUUGAAUACCAAACCAAAGCCAUUAGAACAAUAACAUAAUUAUCUAAAACUUUCAUGUUUUCCACAAAGUCAAAAUCAAAACAGAAAUACGCGAAAACGAUGCAAGAGCGCGAAACAGGGAAAGCUGGCACUGGGCUACUCGCCUCACGAGUAAAGGUUACUCGCCGUGGCGAGCAAUUCCAGUAGCUACUCGCCACCGGCUUGCCUCCCACUCGCCUCGCGAGUUAUGACAGGUUGCAGAAAAUUCUAUUUUCGUGAAAAAUCCAUUUUCACCCCAAAAUCUCAAUUUUUGACUUCCCAAUACCCAAAUUGAUUCCAAAGGUUUACCCAAAUGUUUUUAGACAUGAAAAGAUACUUAAAUCCAUAUACAAACUUGAAUCAAACAUCAUUUUAAUCAAAAUCACCAUUUGACCCAUUUUCUCAAAACAACCACAACAUCUCAUUUCUCAUAAUCAAUUCACAAUUAAGUAUACCCAAAUCAUGAUUCACUCACAAUAGCAUCAGUUAACAAUAACAACAUCAAUGGAAUAUGAAUUACACCUCAUUUCAAUCAAAACAUAUCAAAUUUCAUCAAUUAAGUAUAAUCUCAUAACUUAACAUUUAUACAUAUUUUGAAACAUGUAAUUUCACCCACAAACAUACCAUAAUCAUCAAUUCAUGCACAAGGAAAUAACAUCACAGCAAGAGCACGAAUUUAGCAACAAUGUUCAUCAACCCAUUUUCAUAACACAUGAGAAAAUGCAAAAAUUGAACAUGAUUAUGAUGAUAACUAACCCCCUUACCUUAGAAGAAGAUUAACCCAAACUCUUGUUUCAAUUCAGCUCCUAAGCUUACCCCAAUUGAUUCCUCAAGCUAUUCUCUUCAAAACCUUUGUUCUUCUCUUCACCUCUUUCUCUCUCUACCUCUCUCUAGGAAAAUUUUAUGAAGUGAAUGAAAGAUAUUUUCUCUAUGACAACCCUAAUGUUAUCUCCCUUAAUGGGCUUAACUUAAUUUCCAGUGGGCUUAACCCAUUUCUAUUCAAACCACAAAUAUCUCUCUUAAUUAAUAACGGUAAAAAGUCACUAACGGUUAUUAAAUGGUAAAGUCUCGACUUACUCUAGUAACUAAAUGAAAUAACUAUUUUUUUACUAGUCACUAAAAGUAAUUCCAACAAAAAAAAUUAUAAUUUUACUCGUUCUCCCUAAAAUUACCAAAAUGCCACUCUAAUAUGAAAUUAUAAGAAAAUGCACUCAAUAAUGAAUGAUCACAUACAAACACAUAAAGCACAUAAUAAAACAAUUAAAAAUAAAUUUAGCUAAAAAUCGGGCUGUUACACUUUACAUGUGUUGAAUAUGAUGUUUAUCAUAAUGUGUUGUAUUUUCUCCUUUACUUGAAUUGUGAGAAAUCGUAUGGAGUUGUUGAACAAUAUGAUAUAGUUGAUGUCGAUUAAUGCAUAUAUGUUGAUUGAUUGUGAUAUUGUCGGUGAAUGCAUAUAUGUUAAGUGAUGGUGAUGUGUUGGUGAUUGCAUAUAUACUAAAUGAUUGAUGAAGAUGUGGUGAUGACUCUUAAUUGAUUUAUGACUUGAUUGAUUGUGUGGACGUAAAUACUUGAUAAUGCAAUUGUUGUUGAGGUGAUCAAUAUAAUUGGAGGUUAUCCUUUAUAUUGUUGUUGAAUAUUAUGAGGUGAUUUUGCAUUGUCGAGUUUUUGCUUGUAUGUCCAUGCAUCAUAGUCAUGUUGAGUCUUGAUGUUGUAAAGGAGGGUUACUCUUUUACUUCGGUGAUAAUGUAAGACGGGUGUGAAAUCUUACAUACGAUGUUUUUGUUGCAUCGAAGGUGACGACCUUGAGGUGAUUUGGUACCACAUGCAUAUAUGUGUCGGGAAUAUGCGCAUAUCAUAUUGGCAUGAGUCUUAAUUGUUUACAUGUGAAUGAUGAUUGUUUGAUGAUAAGUGUGUUUGAUGAAUACAUACUUGUGACAUUUGGAUUUGAUUGGUUGAUGAAUUGUGUCAUAAUUGAAUAUGUGACUUGAUGAAUUUGUGCAUUGGUGAAAUUGUUGAACGAUGUGUUCUAUGCGGAUUGUGUAUAUGUACAUUGGUGGAUUUUGUUGAUAGUUGUAAAUAAAUGAUCUAUGCUCUAAUUGCAUGUCUUGUUUACUUGUGCUUAUACACUUGAUGAAUCUAUUUGAUGAUAAUUGGUUUGGUAAUAGUGAUGAGGUGAGAAUUGUAUAUGUGUGUGUAUAUAUAUAUAUAUAUAUAUAUAUAUAUAUAUAUAUGAUUUGGUGAUUCCUUUGAUAAUGAUGAUUGCUUGCUUAUAACCUUGAAAUGAUGAAUUGUACUUGUUGAGUUAAGUAUGUUAAAUGAGGAAUAAGGUGAGUAAUCCUUUAAUUGAUUGAUGUUGAUAAAUGAUGAGCUUAUGUCGAUGACUUGAUUAGAGAUUGAAUAUGCUUGCUAUGCUAUGUUAGUAAUAUGAUAGAUUGAGGUGUAUGGAAUGGGGGAUAAUAAUCAUGUGAUGCUAGUAUUCUAGAAGGGAUGGUUAUAUAUAUGUGUGUGUGUGUGUGUGUGUGAUGCAUGAAAUCCUUGAAUGCUUAUGUUUGUUUAUGUUGAUUAUGAUUGAUGUAAAGUUUACCCGUAGUGGUUUUGACCGCCUACCUGUUUGUAUGGAAGGGUAGACAAAGUGCAGGAUUAGUUUGCUUUUGGUGAGUGGCUUGAUGAUUGCUUGGAUAACGGGAGCUAUCUCCAUUAUCGUUUCCUUUGAGUCUUAGGGUAGGCUCUGAUCUAGGAUGUCUGUCUUUAUGAUUAUUCUAGAUUGUUUAUUCUAUAUUUAUUUAUGUUGUGGAGAUUUACCCAUUUGUCGGGAUUUGGAGAUUUUAUAUGAUGAUGUAUAUUGAUCUUAUGACAUGUAUGUUUUGGAGAUGUAUGAUUUAUAUACGCUGCAACUAUUGAGAAUUUUUAUAUAUGCAUGUUGAUUUUGUUUUUGUUGAAGACGUAGCGUCUAUUUCUUGAAUAUAUGCUUUAUUCGCGUGUUUUAUCACUGUAAUAGAAAUAGGGCGUUACAUGAGUCAACAUGUAAGUAACCACAGACCCUUUCGGGUUAAUAAAGUCAUACCCUUUCGGGUUUACAAACCAAACCAUCGCAAAAGAUCACAUCUGCAACCACCCAAGCCCUGAACAAGAACAGAAACAAAAGCAGAAACCCAAAUAAUACAAAAAAUAACAAUACAACAACAAAACAACCUCAAAGCCAACCAGAUCAAUAACAAACCAAAGCUGAAAACCUUCGAGGAAAGUAACAACUUCCACAUGGCAACUCAAAGGAGCAACAACGACAAAAUAGCGACAGACCAAGGAAUCAGCCAAAAUAACUGUAGAUUUGAGCCACAAAGGAAAGAGUUCAACCCCCAAAAAUAGAAGGUGGUGCAAACCCAGACAAACCCCAAACUCCGGCGAGCUAAACAAGACCGAGGAACCCAAGCUGAAGAGCAGCAACGGCGAGAUCUGAACCAAAACGCCGGUGAACCACCUUAAACCCACGACUCCGAAUUGCCCCUUGUGGAACUCGACGGCGAGCAGGAAAGAGGUGGUGCGAAGAACCAACGUUCUCGUCGCGCCACCGUCGGCGGAGUCUACAUCUAAAAAAGAAGAGUUUGGAUUUUGGGAUUUUGAUGGCGGUGAAGGGUUUUUUUUUUUUUUUUUUUCUAGAGAGAGGGCAGAGAAAAAGAAGUUAGAGAGAGUAGGGCCAAAAAUCUCGUUGAAAUCCCCUUUGAACAUAUAUACAACAAGAAAAAAUAAAACAUCAAUACCAAGAAAAAUUAUCAAAUGUUAUAAUUUUGAAGGAUUGUUUUAAAUAAAACCUUCAUACCAAAAAAGAUAAAAACUUAUCCUUAAUUGUUGAUUGUUUUUUAAGAAAAUUAUAAUAUGAAUGGAUAUAUAAAAUAGAUCAAUGGAGGCCUUUUAGGUUGAUUACACAUUUAACCACUCUAAGAGGUCAUACUUCGCAAUUUGAAACAAGUAAGUCUCACAAGUGUGACAAAAAAGAAGGAUACUUUGUUAAAUUUGUUAAACAACAGAGAACUGAUCUAAAAAGAAGUGAUUAGGACUUAAUUCUCAAUCACAAGUGAACAAGUUCGAAGGUAUUUUUGAUAUUAUGAGGUGCCUGUAAACAAUUAAAAGUGCCUAUAGAGUGAUUGUCUUAAACAAAUACCGCCAGCCAAACCAUCAAUUUUAUGCGCAAAAAAACAAAGGAUUUUAUUGAUUCCUUGAGCUUUAAGGUCUAUCAUGACCGAGUUCCACUUGAGUGACUUUAACUUUUUGUAAUUUUGAUAACUUUUUCUUUAUCUCUCUCGAGAUCAACCAUUCUCUUUAAUCAAAAUAAUAUAUUUUACUCCUUCAUCAAUCAUUUUAUCCCAUCAAAAUUCAAAGUCGUCCAAGUAAUUUCCAUCCUGACUGUAGUACGCAUCCAAACCUCAACACCAAAGCUUUCUCUCAUAAAAAAAAUAUUUAAAUGUCAUUCUCUAUCUUUCUUCAUCAACUAUUCUGACACAAUGACAAAUAUUAAAUCAUAUUAAAGUGAAGGGGUAAUGUUAAUUAUACCAUUAACUUGUUUAGUAGAGCUCAAUAUUAUAUUUUAUGAUCUAAACUAUAAACCUUUUGUUUGCAAACAUAAAACAUGUCGAUGAUUUCAAUUUAAGUUAUCUAGAAUGAAACAAAGUUAUAUGAAUUAAUAUAUAUAUAUAUAUAUAUAUAUAAGGGUUCUGCUAGAAGUCAUCUAUAAAUGUGUCUUUUAGCAACCCACACCUUAAGGUGUGAUUCCCACUUUUUAGUUGUAACUUUGCUAACAGAGUACACCUUUAUAAAAAUUAGUUGGUGUCUUUUAACAAAUGCUUCUAGAAUAACUUGCUAAAUGACACCUUCAUAAAAUGUGUCUUGUAGCAAAACCCAUAUAUAUAUAUAUAUAUAUAUGGAAGCUUCUACGAAGAAGUCAGGAAAAUGACUUCUUCGGUGAAGUCGUCUGAAUGGGCCAAUCAGAUUUUAAGUGAUGACACGUCAGAGAUCUUAAUAAUGUUACAGUGUAGUGCGGUCUACAAUACCGUAAGUGAAGAAAAACUUUAUUUCAUGAUCUUAAUAGUUAGAUUUACUUGAUCUUUAUGUUAUUGUGGUACAACAUCUACACAUGAAUUUUCUUCUAGUACCAAUUCUCUCUCCUUUUUAUUUCUCUUUCUUUAUUUAUUUAUAUUCUCUCUUCCAGAUUUUUAUUAAAUCAACAUCUUCAUCUUUCCUUCAUCUUCUUCAUCAUAUCUUCAUCAACUUAUUCAUCAUCUUCAUGAGAGGGAAAAAAAACCAGAAAUUAAAAAAAAAAUGAAAUUACAUAAUAAAAAAAAAAACAUUACAAUUAAAUACAUUUUCAUAAAAACAAUUCCAAUUUCAAUUCCUCAUUUCCCAAAUUAAUCCCCUAAUUAAGCGUAUUUCUCCAAUUUUAUCUUAAUGAAGACCUCAAUAUAAUUUCAUCCCAUGUAUUUUCUGAUUUGUUUUUGCUCUUAUCCACCGUGUUUUUGAAUUGCGAAAGAAAAAUCAAAAUUUCAUAACAAAAAUGAUACUAUUUAGAUCAUUAUAUUGUCCUUUGUAACACCUAUUUGCUAAAAAAAAUUAUUACGUAAGUUUUACAUUUAAUCUUUCAGUUUUUCUUACUAUAAACGAUAUAAACACUUAAUCUUUCAGUUUUCAAAGAUAAAUGAUAUGGUAUGAAAAAGUAUAAUAACCCAUAAAUAUGAGUCACAAGUUGUUCAUUAUAAACCUACAAGAGUCUUUGAAAUUCCUCUCAAAUUAACAAAAAAAAGUCUUUGCAAAUCUAAAACUCUAAAUCAGUAUAUAUAUUAGUUUUAUUAAUAUUAGCUAUUUUAAUUUUAUUUUUAAUAUUUUUUUUUUGAAAUAAUUUCUAAUAAAAUUAUAAUUAGGUAUCUACUAUACAAUAUUAAAUAAAAUAAACGUCAACAUAAUAUAAUCAACCAGGUCAUGAAAUAUGAUCUUAUUGAAAUAAGAACGAAGCAGAAACUGAAAUUUCAGAAAUCGAAAUCUUUUUAUUUUUUAUUUUUUUUACAACAUAUUAACCUUUCCAGAAAUUUCAGAAAUCGAAAUCGAAAUCUUUCGGAUUUUACAACAUAGAUUUGGAUAUAUAUUUUUUUUUAAAGCAUAAAUCUGGAAAUUUUAAUAACACAAAAAAAACUGGAUUUUUAUUUUAUUUUUUCCGUUUAUUAAACGCUUCUACUUUAGUCCAAUAAGUUUGUAAUAUUCAACAAGCUAGUGGAUGAGACUCGCCAACGUCAUAGUUGAUCGGCGUGAAUUUUCUUCUAUUUGGCUCAGUUACACUAGAUGUUUUUUGACAUGCUACGUCACUGACUUGUGAAUAACCAAAUGAUGCUCUACUUGUUUCUAUUUCAUGUACUCUUAAUUGAAUUCCAGUAAUGUGAUUGCUAAAAAUUUUAAAAUCAAUUUAGGUCUGUGGAGAUAAGUUCAAGUUGCGUUGCGCAGGAGAUUAAGCCAAUCCAUACUUCACGAAAUAACACAGAACUGCAAAUUUUAAUUUUUGGAGGUGGUGGCGGCGGCCAUCAUCAUGGUGGUGGAUAUGGUGGACGGGUUUUAUGAACAGUUUAUCAUAGAAUAGUAAAAAAUUAUAAUGCAAAACAAUAAAUAAAUAAAUUGGAAUAAAUGGGUUGUUGAAAUAGAAAGAAGAAAAGGUGAAAAAAGAGAAAGAAAUUAAAUAUAGUGUGAAAGGCAACACAAUAAGACUAGUGAGGUACUUAAUCCGAUGGUUCAAAAAAUCUAAUAAAACUAGUCUUCGGUAGAAUAUAUUGAGCAGAUGCACAACACAUACUAUGCAACAAUAAACACACAUGACACAUGGCGCAUUAUUAUUGAAUGUAGGAUAACUUCAUCAAAAAAGUCAAUUGAAUAACUUCACCAUAAAAUUUCCCUAUAUAUGCAUGUAUGUCAUUCAUAUAUAUUACAGCUGUGUACCUCAUAACUAGUCAGCAGUAGAAGACAUCAGAUUAUCCAUGGUUUCGCUCAUUGCUCCUUCCAACCACUCUCCAGUUGAAGAUGCAGAAGUUCUUCAAAGGGCUGUUAAAGGUGAUCAGAACCAUAUCCAUCUUUUCAUAUUGUUCUUUAUUACAUCUUGAAAAUUCAUCAAGCCUUCAUUCACACAUAAGAAUAUUUUUUUAAUUAAUAGUCAUUAUUCUUUUCCCAAAUUUUAUUAAUAGUAGUUAAUUAAGAUCAUAUUUGUUGCAAUCUCAAGUUAGCUUUGAAUCUUAUACGAGUCAUCGCGAUGUUAUUCUUAAUUAAAAGUUGACUCAUUGAGUUGAAGAGGGUGAAUAUAUAAACUAUCUUUAAUAUCAAUUUUCGGAGUUUUUGUUGUACUAAUAGCCCUUAUUGAGGGUAAUGAAAAGGGUCAAUCAUUAAGUUUUGUGCAUCGCUCAGACCCUUUUUCUGGUGCCAAUAUUCUGGCAUGUUACACCAUUUUUCUAACGUAUUGUUGUCUACUUUGAAUUUUACAUAUGCCUUUACGAUUUUGUCAUUUGUUAAAAGUAGUCUAUGUAGAUCAAACUUAGUCUUGAUUCUCAAAUAAUAUGAAAUUGUUUUGUGUAGCGAAACGAUUCCAUAUGUUAUAACCGGUGAGUGUAUAUGGGAUAUUUUUUAAAAGAUGUGCAUAAAGAAAUAGUAAUAAUAUCUUGAAUUUGAUUAAAUUACUGAGCUUCGAAAUUUUGUAGGUUGGGGAGCUGAUGAAAAAGCCAUUAUAGCAAUAUUAGGUCAUAGAAAUGGUACCCAAAGGACUCAAAUCAGACAAGCAUACUAUGAACUCUAUCAAGAGGAUCUCAUCAAACGCCUUGAAUUUGAGCUUUCAGGUGAUUUUGAGGUGCAUACACGAAGAAAAAAAAAAUUGUCAAUUAAAUAUAUUAAAAUUGAUGUACCAAAAAGAAAAUACAUAUUAAAAUUGAAAUUUUGUUAAAACUUUAUUGUGCAUGUCGAUGUUUUUAAUGUAUACAUUAAUGUAUUUGUUUUUUAUCAAGUAAUUUAGUGGUUAUAAAUUCAGUUUUCUGUCCGGAAUUCAUACCGACCUUUGCAUAUCUUAAUAUCCGUACCAAUUGAGUUAAACUCACGGAUACAUACAUCAAUGUAAUUUUAUUAUGUAUAUUGUUGAUAUAUACACACGCCAUUAUCAGUAAAAAUUAAUUUUUCGACAAUUCUAGUUUUUUUUAAACACAAGCAAUAAAUAAUAACUAAAUUAGUGACGAGUUGUUGAAAAAAAUUUGUUACCAAAUUGAUCUCUAAAAUAGGUGGCUUAAUUGGUCUCUAAAACUAAUCUCAGAAUCAAAUUCUAAAACCUAAACUACAACCCGAUCUCUUAAAAUCGACAAACCGAUUUGUUGUGAAUUCGGACUCAAAAUCACACCAAUACAAACUAUGAUGUGUGGAGUACAGGAAAGUAGUAAUCGAUAUCAAAGUGAACACAAGCAAUAAUCAACAAUAAGAGCUCCUAGAUCUAAUCUAGGAAUCAAAGUGAAAAGCACAAAUCCACAAGCAAAAGAUAAAAGGAGAGAAGAGAGGAACAAACACACCAAAGAUUGUUGACCCAGUUUGGUCCAAAUUGACCUAAUCUGGGGAAAGAUUGAUCUCUCGAAUCCAUUAUCAAUGAGUUCUUACAAAGAGAUACAAAUGGGUUACAAGAAAUUAGCUUCAACAAGUUCACAAAGAACAACCCUAAUUUCUACCCAUUUUCCCAAUCUCACCAAUGAACAAGACACUCAAUGAUUUUCACUCACCCAAGGUGUUUACAAUGUUUCCCAACCCAAGAGAACUCUAAUCAAAGACCCUCAACCCUAAAGUUACCUCCUUCGAUUUCCCAAGUUUCUCUCUCUUCAAGCCCCACUUCAAAAUCUGCACAAGAACACUUAAAUAGUACCCUGCAAGUGUCAAAAUCGUGUCACGUUUUGCCAAAUCGUGACACGUUUGGUGCGUACGACCCAAGGUACGACCAAACUUAUCCUGAAAACUUUCCCAGCAAGCCGAAAAUCGUGUCACGUUUUCCCAAAAUUGUGUCACGAUUGGACACUCAGAAAACAUGCUCUCGGCAUAGCCAAAUCGUGACACGCUUAUGAAAUCGUGUCACGAUUUCUCUGUUUUCCCAACUUCACAAUUUGAACCCAUAAACAACACGAUCUCUUAAAAUCGGUUAAUAAUAUCAAUGACUUAUGCAUUUGAUGUGGUUGCUUUAAACUCAACUUGACAAUCAUCGGAUUUUUCUCGUGAUCCAAUAUGAAAGAAUGUUUUUUUAUAUAGGAAAAAAAUAUAUUUAAUAAAACCAAUCCCAUUUAGUUUUUCCACUGACAUUGAAAAAAAACAAAAAAAAAAGCUUCUUAUUAUGAAAACUUUUUGAUUGCUUUCUAUCAUGAAAACAUUGCUUUUUAAUUAUAAUGAAUUUGACUUGUUGGUAUGAACAAAAAAGAGAGCAAUGUAUAGAUGGAUAUUGGAACCAGCAGAACGUGAAGCUUCGUUGGCAAAUAUAGCACUAAGAAAUGCAAACAUAAACUUCACCUGAUGAACUUUUCAAUUUGAGACGUGCUUAUCACAAUCGAUAUAAACGUUCCUUGGAGGAAGACGUUGCUACCAAUAACAAUGGUUAUCUUCGUCAGGCAAGUCAUAAUAUAUACUCCUUCUGAUCUUAUUUAUAAAAGACGUUUUUUUCAACAAAAAUUGAUGUAUCUAAUUCAAAAUUUGGUCUAGAUAUAUAACUUUUGUUGACCCAAAUAUUUUGUAUAAAACCGAUUUUAUCCAUAAGAGACAUUUGUGUUAAUAAAAGGUGUUGUGAUUAAUUUUUGAGCAGCUUUUGGUGGGGUUGGUGAGUUCAUUUAGGUAUGGUGGGAGUGAAGUCAAUGCAAGUUUGGCACAAUGUGAAGCUGAUAUGCUUCAUGAGGCUAUCAAACACAAGAAUCACAAUCAUGAAGAAGUAAUCAGAAUACUUACAACAAGGAGCAAAACACAACUUGUAGCAACUUUCAAUUGCUAUAGGCAUUGCUAUCACUAAGGUACACCAAUAUCCCUAAUUGUCUAUAUACUACUAUAAAAAGAGAUGUCCAUUGAAUUUCCAAUUUUGCCCCAUAUGAGGGGUAAUUUGGUAAUUCACAAAUUCACCAAUAGCCUAUGAAUUUUCAUUUUUGCCCCUAACUAUAUUUUUAAAUUAUUUUUUUAUUUUUAUAUUUUUAAUAACUUUUAACUAUUUUUCCAAUUGUAAAAAAAAAAAAAAAAAACUAUUUUUCCAAUUUUUUUCUUCCAAAUUCAGUUGCUUCUACUCUGCCGUUGUGGGAAAUUAAUGUACCGUUUGACCCUGCUUUUUUUCAACUUCUCUACAUUUUUAAGGAUAAGUUAGGCCAAACACAAUAUCAAUUAAGUACUUACUAAAAAAAGUACUUUUGUUCAAAAAAAAUUGAAUGAAAUGAGCUUUGGCCAAAAAUUGUUAAAUGCUGCUUCAAAAAACUACUUAUCGAUAAUUUAUUUCACAAGCACAUCUCUUCAAGUCACGCUGGGAACCUUUUCUUUUACUUUUUAAUGUUAUAUUUCAAUGUUUUUUUCUUCCAUUUAAUUGUAUUUUAUUUUUUUGAACCGUUUCAUUUAAUUUUUUUUAAGGAGGUUCCAUUUAAUUUUUUUUUUUUUUCAAAUGAAUUUUAUUAUCUUUUUAUAACUAUAUAAUUAAUUUCAAUAUCGUUUAAUCAUCACAAACUCACAAAUAUUUCAAUUCUGUUGCUUCUACACUGUCGUUGUGGAAGAUUAAGGUACCGUUUGAAUCGUUUUUUUUUCAACUUCUCUACAUUUUAUAGGAGAAGUUAGGCCAAACAUGAUAUCAAUUAAGUAUUUUUUAUAAAAAAAAAAUACUUUUUUUAAUGCAUAAAAUUGAAUGGAAUGAGCUUUGGCCAAAAGUUGUUAAAUGCUACUUCAAAAAACUACUUCUUCGACAAUUUGUUUCACAAACAUCUUUCUUCAAUUCACGCUAGGAACCUUUUAUUUUAUUUUUUAAUAUUAUAUUUCAAUAUGUUUUUUCAUCCAUUUUAUUUUAUUUUAUUUUUUUGAACAGUUUCAUUUAAUUUUUUUAAGGAGCAUCCUUUUAUUUUAUUAUCUUUUUUUAAAGGAAUUUUAUUAUCUUUUUUAUCACUUAUAUAUUUAAUUUCAAUAUCGUUUAAUCAUCACAACCUCACAAGUUUUUUUAUUCACGCUGCCAUUUAAUGAUAAUGAUAUCAAAUAUUUUUAUUCUUUCUCCAACCUCGCAAAUAUACACACACACAUUAACGUUUAGAGUAAUACUUUAUGUUCGUCUGUCUGUUUUUUUGUUAUUGCAAUGCGUAUAAUUUUUUUUGCCGUUUCAUAAUGCGUAUGAUUAUUUUUAUAAAAUUUUGGUUUUAAUUAAAAGUACAAGUAUAUAUGCCUAAAAAAGUUAUACUUAUAUAUAUAUAUAUUUUGUACCUUUAUAUUGUAACAAACUAUGCAUAUCUUUUUUCUAAUUCAAAAAAACAAAACAUGCAUGUUUCAAUGACACCAACAAUAUAACAAAUAUAAUAUCAUACAAUAUAAUAUCUUAUCUUUUUUAAAGACACCAAAAAUACAGAAUUCUUAUAACGAAACUUAUUAUAGUGUGUAAUUGAAAUAGAAAAAACCAACUAUUUUGAUAUUAUUUAAGUUAUUAUUUCAGCCUCCUUAAAUUAUUUCUUCUAUUCAAAUAUUUAAUAAUUCGUUUAUAUGACGAUACUAAUUUGUAUUCAUGUUACACAAAAUAAACGUCAUUGAGUAAAUAUAGUAUUUGUAAGAAAAAAAUAUCUUUUAUAUUUUAAACAUUUUUAGCCUUCAGGAAAUAUUUUAAACAUUUUAUUUAUUUAUUAUGCUAAUUCAUAAUAAAUUCAAAGAUUUAUCCUCGUGAGCUUAGCCCAGUUGAUAGAGACAAUGCAUAAAUAUAUGCAAAGUCCGGGGUUCGAACCCUGGACACCAUAAAAAAAUAAUUCAAAGUUUGUACAAUAUUUUAUCAAACAACUUUUAAAAAUAGCCUUAAAACUAUAAAUAAACAAAGAAACCAAACAACUUUAACUUCUUUCUUAAAGGCUUUUAUUUUAAUUUUAUUUUGAAGUAACUUUUGGACCGCUAAAAAGUUUGGCUAAACUGUACCUAAGUUCAAUUUUAACUGUAACAGCCCGAUUUUCAGCUAGAUUUAUUUUAAUUACUUUUAUUAUGUGUUUUAUGUGUUUGUGUGUGAUUAUUCAUCAUUGGGUGCAUUUUCAUGAGUUUCCGUGUGGGAAGGGUAUUUUAGUCAUUUUAAACUUAGGGGUAUUUUGGUCAUUUUGUGAGAACGGGUAAAAUUAUAAUUUUUAGUGGGAAUUACUUUUAGUGAUUAGUGAGAAUAAUUAUUUCAUUAAGUUACUUGAGUAAAUUGAGAUUUUACCGUUUAGUGACCGUUAGUGGUAUUUUACCGUUAUUAGUUAAAUAACGUUUGGAGUGUAGAAAUAUUUUUGGUUUGAAUAGAAAUGGGUUAAGCCCACUAGAAACUAGGUUAAGCUCAUUAAGGGUCAUACCUAAGGAGUUGUCUUAGGAAAAUAUCACUUCAUUCAUUUCAUAAGAUAUUUUCUAGAGAGAGAUAGAGAGAGAAAGUCGAAGAAGAGAAGAACAAGGGUUAGAGAGAAGAGGGAGAGCUUGAAGAAUCAAGAUUGGAGUGAGCUUACGAGCUAAAUUGAAGCCUAAGUUGGGAUUAAUCUUCAUCUAAGAAAGGAAGUCUUUGUAGCAAUUAUUUUUUAAGGGAUGACUGAUUUUUUAUUUUGUAAAAUUAGAUUGUAUUUAGAUCUCUUCAAUGUCGCUAACAUAUAUACACGGGUCUAUUUUAACUAUUUGAGAUAAUUAGUGGUGUAUCUAAAUAAAUAGACCUGACUACUGUCUCGAAUGUUGAUUAUAGUAUAUGCUCUUUUGAUGCUUUGGUAAAUAUUUUAAAAAGAUGCACAUUUCUAAUGUUCGUGUAAUAUGCUUACUUAAUUCUCACAUUUAUUAUCAACAACAAUCUAUUAGAAAAAUGCAAUUAUCUCCCUUAAUUUGAAUAUUUUUCCUUUAGAACAAUUUUUUUACAAAACACGUUAUUCAACCCGUGCGAAGCACGGGUUUGUAACUAGUUUUUAUAAUAAUUUAAAUAUAUAGUUUUAGUUGAAAAGAUAGACCUAAUGAGGUUGGAUUCAUAUGAUUAAUGAAUUUAACGAUAAAUAGUUCAAGAGAGAGAUAGUAUAGAGAAGAGAGAAAGAUAAAGAGAAGUUAGAAAUUUCUCUUGUUUAGCAAGAAUAUUAAUUGCAAAGAGAGUAAAAGAUGGAUCUCAUACCUUUAUGUUUUCUCUUCAAAAGGGAGAAGAAAGAGGGAAGAAUAAAAAAAAUGUCUAAUAUACCAUUGAUUUUUGCAAUUAAUCAUCAAUUAUAAUAUUGUCUUAUUAUUUUUGUCAUUGAUACCAAAGUUGAUAAUCCUAUUAAAAGAGUCUAAUAAUCUUAAUUCAAUCACAAAAAGUCUAAUAAUCUUAUUUUUCCCUCUCAUGCAUGUUUUACCAUAUGGAGGACCAGAUUGCUUGCUUUUUUUAAUUGACUCAAUAUUCCUUCCCAAUUCCCACAAUCCCACGUGUUUGUCUUUUACCAUGUCGGUGUUUUUACCCUUUUCGUACUUUCAUAAAAUUUUGUCUAACUUGGACAACAUAAACCCACGAAUGUUGGUGUUUUGAACAAAACUGACAAAACUAAUGGUAUGCGUUUUGUCCCCAAUGGUUUUAACCAUAUUUGACAAAUUAUAAAACCCUCCAUUUUUUCCAGAUUUAGCAACAACCUUUUAUAUGGAAUAUAAACAAUUAUUUUUUUUUACAAUAAUUAAUUUUGAAUUUUAAAAACAUUUAUCUUAAAUUAAAUUUCGUAAAAAUAAUGAAAAGGUUUUCAAAAAAUAAUGAAAACAUUUAUAUUAAAUAAUGAAAAACAUUUAUCCUAGCACCAAAGAACACAACUCUUGAUGGCAUCAGUUUAUGAAAAAGUUUUCAAAAAAUAAUAUUUCAAAUUUUGAAUCAACAUUUUGAUUAGGUUGCAACCAUCAAAGUCAUUUGCUAAAAACUUAUAAAUAGUAACUCAGUUUUAUCGCAACAUAGUGUUAAGAUAAAUGUUUUUUAAAAUUCAAAAUUAAUUAUUGUAAAAAAAAAAAGAUUGUAUUCCAUAUAAAAGGUUUUUGCUAAAAAUGGGAAAAAUAGAGGGUUUUAUAAUUUGCCAAAUAUGGUUAAGAACCAUUGUGGCACAAAAAGCAUAACAUUAGUUUUGUUCAAAACACCAACAUUUGUGGGGGUUUAGGUUCUCCAAGUUAGACAAAAUUUUAUGAAAGUACAAAAAGGGCAUGAAACUAUCAAGACAACAUUUUUCAAUGCAUGCCAGUCAACUUAUCAAAAAUACAAAGAAGAAAUGAGAAAAUGGCCAAAUAUAAUUGAAGAUUAAAAAAUUAAAACACAUUGUUAUAGCAUCACAGAAGAUGGAGCUAUCUUUAAAUUUCUUCUUGGAGUUUUUUGCUGCAACAUAAAAUACAAAAAAAGAAGAUGGUAAAUUGUUAUGGAAAGCAAAAUUGAUGGAAAAUUAAAACGUAAGAAGAAAUGAGAGGGAUAUAAUAAGUAUAAUGGAUUGUUACUAAUUGAGGGAAAAUAAAAGGGUUAUUGGUGGCUAGUAACUAACUGAUGAAAUAGAAAUUUUAUAGUUCAAAGAAACCAAUAAAUGAAAUGGAAUAGGAAGAAUUAGCAACAUAUCUAUUAAUUCAUUGAGAUAAUAGUUUUUGUUUAUUUUCUAAAUAAAUUAUGAAUGGAAUAAGAUAAUACCUCAAUUAAGGCCCCACCACUAUGUGAUUAAGGAGGAAAAAUUAGGGUUUAGCUUAGGAUACUUAGUAGGAUUUAGUAAGUAUCCUAACCUAAACCCUACUUUUUUCAAUUGAAAUUUGACAUAAGAACAUAAACUUACUGCUUUCUAACAAGAGGUUAAUAAUGAGAAAGAAUGGCUAGAAAAUAGUCUUACUUGGUGAUGAAGUCUAAUUGCUAGUCCUUAAGGUUGGUCCUUCGUCCUCUUUUCUACCUCGUCCAAGACACUCUCUAAUGUUUCCUUCCUCCCCCAGUUUCUCUAUUUUCUAAGUGUAGAAUUAAUAAAGUGAUGAAUGAAUAAAAUGAGGGAGAUAACCGGUUGUUAUUAGUGGCACUAUUUUUAAGGAGUGAGAAGUGAAACUGUCCAUAUAACUAGGAAGGAGAUUGCUAUGAUACUCCUAACUACUAGAACAUGUGGUAAUUGAAUCAAGACCAAGUCAUUUCUGUUUACUAUAUGAUAAUAGGCAUAAAAUAAAAUUUAAAGGGUACACAAUCAAAAUAUUUAACUAUAAAGUAAUUAACAAUAUAUUUAGUCAAACAUAUAUUUGCCACAUAAAUUUUGUCGUCCACUCCUUACCUUAAUACAAUUUGUCAUGCUAGUUAAUUAAUUCAUUCAUUAGUCAUAGUCAUAAUAGCAAAAUAAUGCAACCAUUUAAUAAUUAGUAGAAAUGAUUUGACUAUAUAAUUCAAAAAAAACAUAAGAUAAAACAAUCACUUAUAAAUUAUAAACACAAUAUUGUAAUAAUCAAAUUAUAACAAAAAAAAUCAGAAUUAAAAAAGAUAAAAUAUCCAUAUAUUAGAGGGAAAAAACACCACCAUGGUAAAAGACAAACACGUAGGAUUGUGGGAAUUGGUAAGGAAUAUUAAGACAAUUAAAAAAGCAAGCAAUCUGGUCCCCCAUAUGCUAUUGUUUUUGAAAAUGUUGAAAUUUAUAUUAAAAUUUGAAUUGAUUGAUCUUGAUCCAACAACCAUUGAUACACUGAAAUGUGUGAAAAUUUUAACAACUAGAAAUUUGAUUUCGGUCUUUAGACACCAAAACAAAGGAUAAAAAAUCCAUACAAACUUGCAAAAAGAAAAGAAAAACAUGAGACAUGAACUUGGUGAGAUUUAUUAAAGAUUUGUGUUGCAAUUUGCGAGUUGAUUUAGCAAAAAGUUACUACCUCUGUUCCUUUUUAACUGUCAUUUUUGACAUUUUACAUAAAUCAGGACACUCAAUAAAUGUUACUUUUUCUUAUACAAUCAUUUAUACUUUUACUAUAAUAACCUUAGUCAUUUAAUAUCUUAUUCCAUAUAUUUCUCUCUCUGCAAUAAAUAACUAAGGGUAAUGUUGGUAAAACAACAUUUAUUGUUGCAUUGAACUUUGAAAGUGAUAGUUAAAUAGGAACAAAAAUUUUAUCCGAAAGUGACACGUAAAAAGGAACAGAGGUAGCAGUUUUUAGAUUAGUGGUUAUUAGUUUGGAGAAAUGAUAUUUGAACAACCAUAUUUUACAACUUUUGUGACAACUUUCUCUCUCAUACUCACAUUAUUUUUUUACUUUCUCUCUCUAUUGCUUUGGUUUUUGUGCCACUACCUCAUUUCCUUUGUAAAAUUUUGGUUGUCACAAAAAUUGUCACAUAUAUAAAUGUUCAAAUAACACACCUCAUUAGUUUGUUAGUAAAUUACUAGUUAUGUUAGUUUUAGGUUUUGAUUAGUGGAACUCUUGGUUAGAAUUUUUUCGGCUUCCCUUAGCUUAUCAAUUGAGCUGUUUGUUUGGACAUUUAUCUUUUUUAUACUCCCUCUGUUUUAUAAGGAAUGUCACUUUAAUCAAUAAAAUUUGUUUUAAAAUGAAUGUCACCUUACAUUUUUAAUAUAACUUUAAUUUUUUUAUCCAACUUUACCCUCAAUAAAUACUCUAAUUUUUCUCUCACAUUAUUUUCAAUGCAACUUUAAGUUUGUUUUUUUCUUAUAAGUAAAGAGACUUUAAUAAAAGUGUUAUGUCUAAUGAUUAUUUCAUUCAAUUUCUUAAUAUGUGUGCCAAAUCCUUAAACAAAAUUCAUUGUGAAACGGAGGGAGUAUAAAACAAAUAUGUAGAUUAUAGUUGGAUAUACUAUAAUUUUAACACUUUCUUUUUGUUUUUCCAUAUUUCUUCGGUUGUGGUAAUAUUAUUUGAUGUUUGUCGCACACAAAAUGUGAUUAUCUUUUUCAGCUGAAAUUCAAACAUUUUUUUUUUAAAAGUAAUCUAGUGGCUAGAAAAUUCACCCUUUAAGGUAAAUAAAUGUGGAAUCCGAAGUUUCAACUCAUUUUACAUAUACAAAUGUUCCUACCAACUAAGUUAUGCUCACUCAUGUGAACCUGAAAUUCAAACCAUUACUCACCAAUUAGUUGUAAGAUUAUAGUCUCUUAUGUUAGACUCAACCCUUUGAUAACAAUAUGUAUAUUUUAAUUAAUUUUUUUAUUGGAAAUUGAGAGUAUACAUUGCUAGUCAUAUUUUACCACUUGUUCACGUUGUAAGAGUAUAAUCUCUUCCGUUAGACUCGACACUUUGAUAAUAAUUUAUACUCCCUUCGUUUCAUAAUAACUGCACCAUUUUCAAUAAAAAAGUGUUCCAAAAUAAGUGAGCCAUUUCACUUUUCAAUACAUGAUUAAUUACAUUUUUCCCUUUAUAACUCUAAUUAAUACCACUUUCAUCACUCUCAAUUCAAUAUAUUCCACUUUGUAUUUAUGAUAUUGGAGAAUACACCAAUACUUAACAAGAGCACUUAAAACUAUUUUUCUCUCUCCUUCAUGUAUACAUUUGUCUUAAUAUGUAUGAUUUGAGCAAAUGGCUCAGUUAAUCUGGGACGGAGGGAGUAUUUUAAUUAUUUUUUUAGGAUUAAUUGUUCAAAUUAACCUUGUAAUAUGCACGAAAUCUGAAAAAUAAUCAUAUAACAUAAAAAAACACAUAUUUCACCCAUGUAAUUUGAGAUUCUUCCAAUUUUUGAUCCGUUAAUAUACGCAAAGUUCAAAAUAAUAAUGACAUAGUGGCUGAAAUAUGUCUUCCAAUUAACGAUAAAUAGUUCAAGAAAACUCAAAUUUCAAGUCGGAUUGAGAUAAAUUUUAGUCGGUCUUUACUUUAUCUCUUACCAAACUCCAAUAUACCAAAAAACCAGUUAAGAUUCUUGCUCGUGUGUUAUUUCUUUGCAGAAAUUGUCCGAUGAAGGAUCUGAUGGCUUUCACAAGGCAGUGAGAAUAGCCAUUAGCUGCAUCAAUGACCAUAAUAAGUAUUAUGAAAAGGUGAGAUUUAGAAAGAAAAACAAACAUAUUCAUUUUUGAAACCAAAUUGACUAAUCUUAAAAAGACUCAUAUAGUAAGAGAUUCAUAAUUUUGAAGACUUUUUUCAAAUAUAAAUAAUUUUGGAAUUAAAUUAACGACACUAUACAAUUUCAAGGAACAAAUUGAUAAUUGACUCAUAAUUCUUACUCUGAAUCUAUUAUAUGUAGGUUUUACGCAAUGCGAUGGAAAUCGUUGGAAUCAAUGAGGAUGCACUCACCCGUGUGAUUGUCACUAGGGCUGAGAAGGACUUGGAGGACAUAAAAAAGGUCUAUUACAAGAGAAAUAGUGUCCAACUUGAGCAUGCAGUGGCCAAAAAAACUUCAGGAGAUUACAAGAAAUUUCUCCUUACUCUGAUGGGGAAAGAAGAAUAAUACAUGUACUUUUAGUCAAAAAAAAGAAUAAUAAUGUACUAUAUAUAUAUAUAUAUAUAUAUAUAUAUAUAUAUAAUUUGUUUACUUUGGAGAAGUUGUAACACACUCUUUCCAACGCACUCUUCUAUUGGCCGAAAUUUACUAGCAUCACCAAAUGUAUGUGAAACCUACAUGAAUUCAUGCAAAUCUAUAUCAAGGCUUUGUAUGGCUUCUGUGUAAAUUGUUCAUGCUAGUGUAGUGAGAGUUUGAUCUUGGAAAUUAGCAUGAAUCUAUAUUUGGCAUAUAACAUGAAUCUAGCAGAGCAAAUUGAGGAAAUUCUGGCAGGAAACCCGAGAGCUAUGCAGUAGCCAGUGCAGAAUGUUAUGAAUCGAUCACAAGGAACUGUAUUAAAUCUUGUUGCAACGACAAAUAGAAAACAACAGAAUGGUAUUACUCAAAUAAAACUUUUCUUUUAACAACACAAGUACAACAAAUAGUUGAAUAUUCAUUUUCAUUUAUGUUAUGAUUUAAUGAAAUGGUUAAGAAAAUGAUCCACAUUUCGAUAAACAAAAACUGGAAAAUUAAUUUUGUUUAUCGCUUAGAAAUGUAGAUAUUAACCAGUUUCAACCUAAGCGAAAAUUCACAGACACAACAUAAAAAUAUAAUAAGAAUUUGGAUACUACUUGUAGCCAAGCCAAGCAAAGAGUAGAAAAAAUGAAAACAAUGGUAGACAAUAAAAUGCAUUGCAAAUGAAAAGAAGAAAUGAUUUUAAUGAUUGAUUCCAAAUCAGAGUGAAAGAAUAUUUUAAUACACAUAUGGUACAAUAAGUCAUCUCUCUUAUAGCUACAUUAUAGCUUCCCUAUUACUCCAUUAUAGUCCUUGGUGUUGGCUUAUUGGUUUACCUUCUGUAAUCCUUACGUCAUUCUCUCUUCUUUUUUUCUUUACAGCAGCAGUAAACCCAGUAAACCCAUGGUGUGUACAAGAAUAUGAAAUUUAGCUGACCCAAUCAACACCUGUCUGUGGUCACCCUGAAAACAGAAUUCAACUCACAAUCAGUACUUUCAUCAAUAUUUUCAUGCCUUCGAUAAAUACACACAUUUAUGAUUCAUAUAUGCUUGCUUGCAAGCUAAUAAAUCACAUUAAGCAGUUUUAGGAAAAGUGCAUGACGGCAUAAGCAAUGCAGAAAUGCUAUACAUUAAUGGGUGCAUACUUUUUGAAUGGACAUAUUAAUGAAUCAUUAUGUUUUGUAAGAAUUGGAUAAGUUGUGUUAUAGUCUUACAGAAUACUUUAUAAUCUUUAUGUAACUUAGAAGAAGGCACUGUUUCAAGUAUGAAAUAUGAAAUCAAAUGGCAUUUCUACACAAUAAAGUUUGGAAAUAUAAACAAAUGGGUGCACCUGUUAUUUUCAGCAGCUAAUCAUCCAGUAUGAUAACAAUAGGGAUGUGACGAAUUGUAUGCCAACACUCUCCUCCCUCCUUUUGGUACUUCUGCUCAAGUAAUUGACAAUUCCGAAUCUCCAAUGUAGAAAGGGAGUUGGGAAGACCCUCCUCUGGCAAGCGUUCAAGACUGGGGCAAUGUCGAAUAGAUAAAGAUUUGAGAGAUUCAAGGUGGAGAAGACCCUUGAAGUUUAUUAUUCUUAACUUUGAACAUUUUCCCAAUUGAAAAUAGUUAAGAGUUGGUGGCAGUAGAUUCUCCUCUGGGAAAGACUCCACAUUUUCAAAGUCAUCGCUAACCUUGAAACUUUUAAGAGAAUUAAGUUGGAAUAAACCCCACUCCCCUCUCGAAGCAAUUAGUUUUGGGCACUUUGUUAUUUCAAGGCUGAUCAGGGAGGAAGGCAACCCUUCCCUAGGAAAUGACUCUAGUUGUGGACAAUCAUACAAACUUAAAUAUUUAAGAUUGGUGAACAAGUGUAGGGAAAAUGGAAUUGAGGAGUGCCAGCAGCCACCUAUAAAGAGUGUGCGAAGAGAAUUAUAGCAAGGCAAAUCCAAACAAGACCAUUCUAGUUUUGCACAAUCGAUGUCACCAACAAACAAACUUUCAAGAAAGGCAUUGUUGAAUAGAAGUUUCUCCAGGGAAGACACAAUGAGUUGAGUUCCUGUUAGGGUGACCCGUGUCAAUUUUGAUGGCAGAUUAUUUAUCAAAAUGUUUUUACAUCUCACCAAUCGUAGGUCAUCAAUAUUAGAAGCCUCGGGAAUUGAAGCCUCUAACUCUUGGCAAUCAAAAAUCGACAAUUGUUGCAGAGAAGGAAGGUUUUUGGGUAGACCUUUUUGCAAUUUGGGACAAUUUCUUAUAGAAAGCUGUUUAAGCAAAGGGAAACACUCAACACAUAACCAUUUCUUCCAAUUGGACAUGUUCUCAAAAUACAAAAAUUCGAGAAACUUGAAUGGAUCAUUUGAUGAAUUAAUGAUCUCUAUUCCAUGACAACCUGAAAUAUAAAGCUUCUUGAGAUAGGGAAACAACUCAAAUGGUGGCAAAUGGGAACAAAAUUCACAUCCUACCAGAUCCAGAGAUUCUAAAUUGAACAAAUGACUACCCCCAAGCCAGUUUGGAAAGCUAGUGCCUCGAUAGUGUUUGAUGGUCAGCAUAUUAAGGUUACUAUUUGGUUCAAGGGCCUCCAAGACAGUCAUUUCCCUUUCAAUUAUCAAGUUAUUGAUUUCUCUAGUGGCAUUGUCACUGUAUAUGAUAUGUAAUUCUUCCAAAUGCUUCUUAUCUUUUAAUUUUGCUUCUAGAGCAUCUGCAGGAAUAAUGACAUUUUCUAACCCUGAAAUACAAAGUUUCCCUUGAAGCUGGUUGAGUUCCGUCAACUCCUUAAUAUCAUACCCAUGCUCCUUUACCACAACAAAUUUAGUCAACGUCUGAAGAUGGGUUAGCCUCCCUAUAUCUUUUGGCAUCAUCUUUAUGUGAGUUCUUUCCAGAUCAAGAUGAUGUAAAUUGCUAAGUUUGUAAAAAUCUGAAGGGAGCUCAGUCAAUGGACAAUUUUUCAAUAGCAGUGUUUGUAAAUUAUAUAGGUUACAAAUGGAAUCAGGCAAACUUUCAAUUCUUGUGUAAGAUAGGUCUAGAUAACGCAAAAGCUUUAAAUUGCUUACCUCAUCAUCUAACUUUGGAAGGAUACAACCAUUCAAUGAUAACAUCCGCAAACAUUUUAGCUUUGAAAACAAAUCUUGCUGUAUCGCGUUGCUUAUGUUCUGGUGGAAAACAUCAGAGUUUAGGUAUACCAGUAAACUACGUAAUCCCUUUGUCUUAUAAAUAUGCUGUGUCAUUUUAUUAGCAUCUUUUCUUUGAAAUUGAGAACACGAAAUGUGACGUGUCCUUUCAGUGACAUCUUUCUCCUUAUCGCCCUGUAUCGCCAAGCAAAACUCUCCUACCAUUGAUUUUGCUAAAUCGUUGACAAGAUCAUGCAUUACAAACUUCGUACUACCAUCUGUUGAUUGCUGGAAAAAUGAAAUUGAUACUAGAUCAACGAAUAAUUCAUUACCGAAAUCUUGUUCACUUUUGUCAAUUCCGCAGCACUGCAACAAACCAUCUGCUGCCCAAAGCUGGACUAGUUCACCCUUUCCAAAACUGUAACCUUUAGGAAAUAUGGAACAAUAAGAAAAGCAACGCUUAAGAAUAGAAGGGAGACAAUGGUAACUCAAUCUCAGUACUGAAUUAAUGUUACUCUCGCCCUCUGAUAAACGCCACAUAUCUGUCUCCAAUAUCUUAACCCAAUCACGUUGAGAAAACUUUCUUCGCAAGAGAUUUCCCAAAGUUUUUACAGCUAAUGGCAACCCUCCACACUUGCCUAUAAUUUUCUUACCAAUAGAUUCAAGAUUUGGAUAUUCACUUGCAUUCCUUCCGUAAAAAGCAUGUCUCACAAACAUACUCCAACAUUCACUCUCCUUCAAUUUCUCUAAAUUAAGCUCCUUGGUGGACUUCAUGAUAGAUGCCACCUCCUUGUUACGUGUUGUAACAAUAAUUUUACUUCCAGUAGAUCCAUGGCAUAAGGGAAGUAGUAAGCGCUCCCAACAUUCCACACUCCCAUUCCAGACAUCAUCCAAAACAAGAAGAUAUUUCUUACCUGUUAGUCUCUGCCGCAGUUGAUAUUGGAGUAGAUUGAACUCUUCAGCAUCUGUUGAAGAGUGAAAUGAGCUCAUAAUUGCUUUGGUGAGUCCAACAACAUCAAAAGUUUCUGAAACAUAGACCCAAGCUUUAAGUUCAAAAUGCUCCUGCAUCCUGUGGUCGUUGUACGCAAGCUGAGCAAGAGUGGUCUUACCCAUUCCACCGAGACCCACUAUGCUGAUUAUUGGUACAUGAUUGCCACUGUUUAUGUCAGACAGUAAAAAAUCAAUUAACUCCUCCUUGUCACCAUCUCUACCAUAUAUGCUCGAUUCAUCCACCAAAGCUGUAGUUGGAAAUCUAUCUAAGGGUUUCCAACUAACGCCACCUUCACUACUAGCAAAAGCCUCAUGUUUCAAUCCGAGCAUAUCCUUUUGCUUUGCAAGAAAUUCUAGCUUCUCUAGCAAUUCUUUAAUCCUAGAUUCAAAUGGAUUAGUGAAAGAUGAAAAGAAGUCGAAUACCUUGCUAGUAGAAGGUUGAGAUUCAGCUUUCAGCUUCUUCAGUGGUGCAUCAGUUGCAAUCUCAUCUAACAGCUGGUCAACCUCAUAUGCAUAAUGUUUAAGAUCAUCAAGCCACUUCUUCACGUACAUGCUUUGGUAUUGCUUCAUCUCCGCUUCUUCCAACACAUGGUUGAUAGAAUUGAGUGUUAUUAGAAGUUUCUCCAGCAGAUUAACAUCAAGUUUGCUUCUACGGAAAUAGUCAAUGAAAUCAUUGGAAGACAAUUUCUCAAGAGCCACUUGAAAGAAUGAUGAAAGAAACGCUCCACCAACCAACUCUCUCAUGGACAUGGUGUUUUUUUUUUUUUUUUUUCUUUUUCUAUUUUCUGUUUUUGAAUUGUGGAAAUUGAUCAACAAGCUUAAGAUGCUCACUGCAAGAUGGUAAUGUUUUGCUCAGUUAGUUGAAAUGAAAGAAGAAUCAUUCAAUGACAAAUUAUUAUUGAGUGGAGCUUUUCUUUAUUCAUGUUAAACAAGGACUGAUUAACUACUAUGUGUUUCUUAGUGAAUUUUUUUAAUUGAUGACAUAAUGCACAAUAAUUUUUCUUAUUUAACAACAAGGACGGCAGAGAAAGUGUCCUGAUUCCAUUGAUUUAAGUCUCCUUAACUAACUAUAAUAUAGCAACAUGCAAUAGUUUAUUAUCCUACUUUGAUAUUUUACAAUAAAGGAAGCUAACCCGAAAUUUCGUAAGCUCUUUAUAUAUCCAAUUAAAAUAGUAAUUUAGAGAAGAAUAAAUUGAAAGAAACAAGUAUAUGCAACUUUAUUUGUUUUCUUAGCCUUCCAAUUUCUUGUAGAAAAGGUCGUAAUAAUUUGGUGUUUGGUUGAGAGCAGUGGCAUAUCUUAAUAAUAUACAAAAAAUUAUUUUUGUACUUGAAAAACAUACUUGAUUUACAUGUAUCCUCUACCCGGUUUCAUUUUUUUUUGAAACCGUUGGAGAAUCAACUCGUAUCAAUGUUGUUGAACACAUAUCUCUCAAUAUAAAACAUUUGCUAUCGUACAAUGAUCAUUGCACGACAUCAAGUGUUGUAAUUCCUCUCACCAAGCAAUGGAUGCGAUAUACGAGAACAAUUCCAAGAUUUUCUUGAUUCGUGAUGAAUAAUGGAUUGGUUUGUUGAUUGAAAUCCUUGAUGAAAUGAUUAUGAAGAUAAAAUUAAGUUGAAGAUAAAGAAGAGGGAUAAAGCAUGAGGAAAUGGAAAGAGGAAUGACUUAGAAAAUGUGAGAUAAUUGAAGCAGGGUUUUCCUUCUAUCUGAUACUAGUUACAAACCCGUGCUUCGCACGGGUUCAAUAACGUUUUUGAUAAACAAAAAUAAAUCGAAGGAAGAUAUGUUAAAACGACGGAACAUUAUGAUUCAUCAUAAAAUAUGUAUGGGUUGGUUCCAAAGCAUUAUAAAGAUCUGCUGUAGAAAAAGGGCAUGUUCUAUUUUGUUCAAAAGAUUAGGAAAACAACAUUAUAAUUAACAUGAUACUAAUUUGAACCAAUGAAGGAACCAACAAUGUGCAGAUUAACGUUACAUAAUAGUUAGGUUUAUAAAAGAGACUCCAAGUGUCAAAGACUAACUAAAAAGAGAAUUUUGUCAAUAUUUACAUCAGACAAAAUGAAAAGAACAAAUGACAUCCCAAAGUCAAAAUAGUUUACGAUUACAGUCCAAAGCGAUACGUCAAAAUAGUAGAAGUUUAAAUAGUUCAGCAGCAAAUAUCUACUUUAGAACAACUCGAACGUGCAAGUUCUUCGGUGACUUUUCGAGACCAAAUAUGAGCUUACCACCUUCUAUCAUCACAUGUUCUCUGCAGAAAUUGAUCCAUAGCCCACCCAAGUAUUUUUCAUAGCUUGCUCUUUCGGCGGUAAUGAGGCGACACUUAUACUUUCUCUGUAUGCGAAUAUAGUUACAUAUAAUUUAUAAAAUAAAGGUAGCUUAACUGAUUUAAGCUAAAGAAAAUGUAUCAUGACUUCUAAUUUAUCUUCCUAUUAUCUUCCUAUAAAGUCUAGAUAAAUACAUGUAUGUGCAUUAUAUGAACCCCGUUGACCAAUUAACAUUGUUGAAACAAAUGGAAAUUAAGCAUCACUCCCGCAUGUGCAUCUAUAGCUAGCACCAUUUGACAUUGAUGUCUUCGAACAUUUGGUGCAACUCUUAUAAUACCAUCCAAACUGGUUAGGAUUGAAUUUAGUUGUUUUCCAAAUAGUGAUGAAGUAUGUAUCCUAACCCAAAUUAUGCACAUGAAAUAAAGAAUAAUGCAAUAUGUAUUUUUAACUUGUGCAUCAAAAAACUCAAAGCAUGUUCGUGUAUAAAAAAAGCAGACCAUGACUAAGUUUAUAAAUUCAGUAAUUGGCCUAACCUGAGGCAGAUUGAAAAAAUCGUUGUACAAAGUACGUUGAGAAGAAGCCGAACUCUAACUUAAGUUAUGACUGAUACUUUGACUCUGAGCUUGAGAAGUGUUAAGGUCACGACAACAAUUCAAGAAACAUGGUCAAAAAACAAUCAAAUCAGAUUGUGAAAUAAUAAGUUACUCUAAUACUAUAUUUUGAAAUCAUAAUGCAAACUUACUAAGUCUUAAACUUCUCAACAACCGGAUAAUGUAGGUUGAUGAGCAGCCUCGAACCUGACCAAUUGUUACAUAUAUUUGGGUUGCCAAUGACUAUAAAAUGGAAGAACUCAAGGUAAAUAGAUGGUAAAUGAUCAAGCUACGGAGUAUUUUUCCCAUAGUGUUACAUCAACUAUAUUCUCACUGCAUAAGGAAAGACAUCUUUCAGGUCAUUAUCAAACUUAUACAAAAUUCUAUCAUCUGAUGUUGACAAAUUAAAAAAUAAUACCUUUUAUCUUUCAACACAAUGUUCGUACACAGUUUCUUUCUAGUCCCAAUUGAUGUUGUCUUGACAAUCUCAUGAAGAAGCCCGAUGAUUUCUUAAAAAAAAUAUUACAUCUAUAAUAAUAUUAUAAUCGGAGAAAACAAAGAAAUAAAUUAAAGCACAUAACUAUAUCAUAUAAAAUGUCAGAUUUGAAUUUUCCAUCUUGAAUUUUCUUAAAUGACUUAAAACGAAAUUCAUGAGUAAGAACGUUAGUUAACUUGUCAUACUUCUGCACCUUUGUAUCAGAACCAAAAACAACCCUAAAGAGAUUAAAUACAAUGUCAUUAUCAAACACAUGACAAUUAUACAAAGUAUAAGUCUUGUUUUCCUCGAUCAAAGCCUUUCAAUGCUCCAAUUCUCUAUACCGAGUUAUUACAUGAGCUUGAUCACCCUAAAUUCGAGAAAGAAAUAAAAAAAUGUAAAUAAAUCAAAAUGUACACUAAUAAGUAACAUUGAUAAAUCAUAAAGGAAAUUACAACAAAUCUUAACUAACUCAUCUAAUCCUUGCAUCACAAAUAAUGAGCUUCAUAUGUUGAUUCUCAUUACUACCAUUUACAAUCCAAGAAUCCAGCACUCCAAAUCCUAUUUUCCAAAUGUCCAAAUCAUUUUUUAGAUCCUUAAUGUAGUCAUAAUCCCUUGACAUCGAAAGUCCUAUAUAAAGAUACAAUAAUACAUCAUUUAAUUUUAUUCCCUUUGUUCAUUCUGAUAUCGAAAGAAGCUAACAUAUUCCUAUGUGAUCAAUUUUUGUAUCAUCAAAUCAACCUGAUCUUAAAUGCACAAAUUUCUGAAUCAUCAACUUUUUGGACGUCAAUGAUAUGACCAAAACAAAUUUCACCAAUCAACUUUUGUACGGCUCAAUCAUAUAGGAAAGAAUAAACCAAAUAUGAAAAUUGUUAUGGCUUUAUGAUUACUCACAAAAACUAAAAUAACCCACAUACAUCAAUUUUUUUUCAACCACAGUACCAGAAGCUAAAAUAACAAUUGUGUCAAAACCUUAUCAUGAGCUAAAAUUCAAUCAUCAUGAUUCAUCAAUGUUACUUAUUAGUGUACAUUUUGGUGUCUUUCAAAAAGAUAAGAAUUUAUAUUAUAUGAUAUUAUAUUUGUUACAUUGUUGGUGCCAUGGAAACCUAUAUGUUUAGUUUUUUCGAAUAAGAAAAAGAUAUGCAUAGUUUGUUACAAUAUAAGGGUGCAAAAUAUAUAUAUAAGUAUAAUUUUUCUAGGCAUCUAGACCUUUUUUGAAGAUAAGAAUAAAAAUAAUCAUACGCAUUAUGCAACUUAAAAAAAAAAUAUACGCAGUAGCGUAACAAAAAAACAGACACAUAUAAAGUAUUACUUUAAGCGCUAAUAUGUGUAUUCGUAUAUAUUUGCGAGGUUGAAGAAAGAAAAUAAAAAUAUUUGGUAUCAUUAAAUGACAGCGUGAAUAAAAAUAUUUGUGAGGUUGUGAUGAUUAAACGAUAUUGAAUUUAAAUGUAUAAGUGAUAAAAAGAUAAUAAAAUUCCUUUGAAAAAAAGGUAAUAAAAUUAAAUGGGACCUCCUUAAAAAAAAUUAAAUGGAAGAAAAAAUCAUAUUGAAAUAUAAUAUUAAAAAACAAAAGAAAAGGUUCCCAGUGUGAGUUGAAAAGAUGUGCUUUUGAAAUAAAUUGUCGAGAAGUAGUUUUUUAAAGUAACAUUCAACAACUUUUGGCCAAAGCUCAUUCCAUUCAAUUUUAUGCAUUCAAAAAAAUUACUUUUUUUUAGUAAGUAAACAGCGUGAGUUAAAAAGAGGUGCUUGUGAAAUAAAUUAUCGAGAAGUAGUUUUUAAAGUAACAUUCAACAAUUUUUGACCAAAGCUCAUUCCAUUCAAUUUUAUGCAUUCAAAAAAAUUACUUUUUUUUAGUAAGUAAUUAAUUGAUACUAUGUUUGACCUAACUUCUCCUUAAAAAUGUAGAAAAGUUGAAAAAAAAAACCGGGUCAAGCGAUACCUUAAUAGUUAAAGUUAUCAAAAAUAUAAAAAUUAUAAAAUAAUUAAAAAAUUGUGAGGGGCAAAAUGGGAAAUGCACCCAUAUAAUGGUGAGGUGGCAACAACACAAUUCCACCAAUUAGAAAAUUACAAAAAUACCUUUCCUAGGGGCAAAAUGGGAAAUUUAUAGGGCAUCAACUUUAAUAGUAGUAUAUAGAUCAUAUCAACACUAAGCAAAAUUGAAGAAUCCUUUCAUUCUCGUUAUUGAUGAAAUGAGUAGUGAUACACCUUAUAUUACGAUAGUAAUUAGUAACUACUUGGUAAUUAAUCAACUGAGCAUUAAAUUCCUCUUCUCCUUAUUGACCAAAGGGCACCACCCAUCUGCUACAAAAAUCGUGUCACGCUACACAAAUUGUAUCACGAUUCUUCACAUUUCACAAAAACAUUUUUGAGUCACUUUACAACACAUGUAAACUUUAUUCAAUUCACAAACUCAACACACAUAAACUUCCGCAAACAAAGUUCGUGUGAACUUACACAAACUCAGUUUGCAUAAAACUUGAAUUUCAAAAUGCACUUAAACUUUAAUAAGGAAACUCACUAACAUAUGCAAUAUCGUAAUAAUGGAAGCUUUGUGACUCUAUCUUUAAUCAUUCAUUUUGCUUCAUCAUAUAUUCAUGGAUGUUUUUGAUAGAGGGGAGGUGAAAAUUUUAGAUACAGAGAUGAAAAAUGAUUUUUGAAAAAUUUAUAUGAACAAGGGCAAUUUUGGGUAAUAUAAUUAAAUUUUAUUUAAAUUUGGGUAAGACCAAGGACAACCCUAAGUCACUGAGAAUGUGGGUCUUGGUCCUCCUAUCUUUUGGGGGGAAAUUGAAUACUAUUUGUAUUAUUUUUAACUAAAAUAAUGAUUUUUGUAAUAUGAUAUAUAUACAUAAUAAUAUAGAUAUUUUUGUUAAUAUGACACAUACAUAAUAAUCGUAAGAGAACAAUUAUGAAGUAUAUUUUUUUGGAAACAAUUAUAAUGUAUAUUUAUGUUUUCAAAAUUAAAAUAGUGUUUGUGUGUGCGUGUGUGUGGGUGGGUGCGUGCGUGCGUUUAUUGACCUCACUACUUAAGAAUUAUGGAUUCGUCUCUGAUAACACCCAAUCAGAGAAGAGGACAAUGACGACUGAAACGAGCGGUAAUCGAAAACACAACAAAUUGACCAAAUAUAGAGAACACAAUUCUCACAUCGUCAUUGUUGUUGAGUUUUAUCUUGGUGAACCAAACACGUCUAUCGAAAAACAACGAUACUCAACACUGGCCACUAUUCUUGUGUCGCCAAAGGAAAGAUGGUCAACGUAGGGAUUGGUCCCACAAGGACAAUCACCUAUAGGUAACAAUGAAUUCUUCUUCACAUGAAUGGGAAAGAAGAAUAAUUCAUGUACUUUUAUUCAAUGAAGAGAAUAAUUAAUGUACUUCUUUCAAAGAUAUAUAUGCAAUUUGUUUACUUUAGAGAAGUUGUAACACACUCUUCUAUGAGCUAAAAUUUACUAGCCUCUUCAUAUUUAUGUGAAACCUACAGGAUUUAGUAGAACCUAGAUUUAAACUAGUGAAAUUCGUUCAAAUCUCUAUCAAGGCUUUGUAUGGCUCCUGUGUAUAAUCUUACAAAACAACAAUGAAACAUUUAAUGUAACCAUUUACCAGAAUAAAUUCUUUGGUUUUCAAGGUAUUCAGCAAAGGUUGAGCUCCCAGAACCUACAAUAUGGAGAUCAAAACUUAGAGCGAAAGAUAAGUCCACAGAUCAAUCUGUCACUAGCUAGCAUGGACCACGCUUUUAGUCCCUAUAAAUUAGCAGAGAUACUUAUAAAUUACAAUUGAUUUCAAGGUUAAAAAUGUUUAGUCCCAAAAAAUUUCACAAAGUUUAGUCCCUGCAUUAAUCUUGUCCCUAUUAACUUGUGAUCUGAGUUAGACACAUAGAAAUUACAGAAAUCGCAAUAUUAAUAUCACAUUCCUAUUUUUGUCUUCUCAUUGCACCUACCGAUCUCAGCUGUUUUGGAUAGGUUUACCAUAUCAGUUUGCAUGGGUUCUCAAUACUAGUGUGUUACAUUUGGAAGCAUAAAGAAAUACUUUCAUUGUGUACCUUACUGAAGGUUCUCCAACAAUCACGCUUGUAAAGUAAUUGUUGUGAAUUCCGGUCUCAAAGUCACACCAAUACGAACUAUGAUGUGUGGAGCAAAGGAAAGUAGUAACCAAUAACAAAGUGAAUGCAAGCAAUAAUCAACAAUAACAGCACCUAGAUCUAAUCUAGGAAUCAAAGUGAAAAGCACAAACCACAAGCAAAAUAUAAAAGGAGAGAAGAGAGAAACAAACACACCAAAGAUUGUUCACCAAGUUCGGUCCAAACUUGACCUACUCUGGAGAAGAGAUUGAACUCUCCAAUCCACUAUCAAUGAGUUCUUCCAAAGAGAUACAAAAGGGUUACAAGAAAUUAGCUUUGACAAGUUCACAAAGAACAACCCUAAUUUCUACCCUUUUUUCCCAAUCUCACCAAUGAACAAGACACUCAAUGAUUUUCACUCACCAAGGUGUUUACAAUGUUUCCCAACCCAAGAGAACUCUAAUCAAAGACCCUAAACCCUAAAGUUUCUCCCUUUGAUUUCUCAAGUUUCUCUCUCUUCUAGCUCUCCUUCAAAAUCUGCAAAGAACACGUAUAUAGCUGUCUUCUGCGUCAAAAUCGUGUCACGUUUUUCCCCAAUCGUGCCACAAUCGAUGCGUACGAUUCAAGGUACGACCAACCUUAUCCUGAAAAUCUUGCCCAGCAAGCCAAAAAUCGUGUCACGAUUUCCCAAAAUCGUGUCACGAUUGGACGCCUUGAAAACCAGCUCUCGACAUUACCAAAAUCGUGUCACGAUUUCUCUGCUUCCCAACUUUGCAAUUUGAAGACAUACACAACAUUCUCCACCUUGACUUCAAAUUGAUGAUGAUGUCACUUUAACCAUCAACCACCAAUCUCCCUUUUCUUUUCCCUUGAAUUCAACUAUACCAAGUUGCUCCACAAGUCUACAUCAAACCCUCUUCAACCACGAAACGUCUCCCGCUUCCUCGAAGAUCACCUUGCAUCCGAUCACCCUUGGUCUUUUAGGUAAUCACACAAGCCACACCAUACAUUCUUCAAACCCCGGAAUACCUUCCGUCCUCAUGAAGAAUUCACAUGCUCACAACUAGAGCAUAAACACCCAAAGCCUCCAUAGUCGUACCAUUCCCGGUGUCAUCAACUCCACCUUAAGUUGAGCUUUCUCUACCUCAACUUCCAAAUGAGUAUUUCCACUAUGCUUCCACCUUGUAACUCCACCUCAAGGGUUGAUCACGAGUAUUGUUCACACCGCCUCUCUAGGCUAACCAUGAGUAUUCUUACCACCGCCUCUCCAGGCUGAUGUUGAGUGUUUAAUGUCUCUCCAGAUGAACACCAUUCUACAAGGCAUCAAUACCAAGGUCAGAACCCUCACCUUCAUCUUCCUCCCAACAACUCACCACCAAAGCACCCGCAUCCCCAUACUCGUCGGACACAACUUGCGCGAAGCUCUCAUUGUCCUUCGGACAAUCCCUCUUGAAGUGACCCAACUUGUGACACUUAAAGCACUUAUACUUAUCAUUGUUUCCGCUCUUUGAGCUUCCUCAGUUACCUCUACCUCCACCAUUUCCUUCUGAAACACUAAGGUCUUCACUGUUUUCAUCCGCUCUCAAGUCCUUGGACUUGGUCAACUCCUUGGUUCUUAAAGCCGCUUGAACUUCUUCCAAGGUGACAAUGCCUUCUUUGCCAUAGAGCAUGGUAUCCUUAAAGGAUUCAAAUGAUCUCGGUAGAGCACACAACAAGAGUAUAGCCUUGUCUUCGUCCUCAAGUUGCACCUCAAUGUUCUCCAAAUCAUCAAGGAUUUUGUUGAACUCUGCCAAUUGCUCCAUCAAGGUCUUUGACUCCACCAUCUUGAAUGAGUAGAGUUGUUGCUUAAGGAAUUGCCUAUGAGCCAAAGACUUGGUCAUAUACAACGACUCCAACUUUGACCACAUAGAUGCCGCGGUUGGUUCCUUCGCGACAUCCCUUAAAACUUUUUCCUCGAGGCACAAGACAAUGGCACUCCUAGCCAUGUCCACCAUCUCGGUCUUCUCCACUUGUGACAUGGUGACCGGUAACGCACCUUCACCCUUCAAAGCUUUCUCACACUUUUGUUGUAUCAACACCGCUUGCAUCUUCACCUUCUAUAACUCAAAAUCGUUAAUCCCGAUGAACUUCUCAAUAUCCCACUUUGAAUCCAUGGUACUCACUAAACCAAAUCACUCCUAUGCCCCACGGUGGGGGCCAAUUGUUGUGAAUUCUGGUCUCAAAGUCAAACCAAUACGAACUAUGAUGUGUGGAGCAAAGGAAAGUAGUAACCAAUAACAAAGUGAGUGCAAGCAAUAAUCAACAAUAACAACACCUAGAUCUAAUUUAGGAAUCAAAGUGAAAAGCACAAACCACAAGCAAAAUAUAAAAGGAGAGAAGAGAGAAACAAACACACCAAAGAUUGUUCACCAAGUUCGGUCCAAACUUGACCUACUUUGGAGAAGAGAUUGAACUCUCCAAUCCACUAUCAAUGAGUUCUUCCAAAGAGAUACAAAAGGGUUACAAGAAAUUAGCUUUGACAAGUUCACAAAGAACAACCCUAAUUUCUACCCUUUUUUCCCAAUCUCACCAAUGACCAAGACACUCAAUGAUUUUCACUCACCAAGGUGUUUACAAUGUUUCCCAACCCAAGAGAACUCUAAUCAAAGACCCUAAACCCUAAAGUUGCCUCCUUUGAUUUCCCAAGUUUCUCUCUCUUCAAGCUCACCUUCAAAAUCUGCAAAGAACACUUAUAUAGCUGUCUUCUGCGUCAAAAUCGUGUCAUGUUUUUCCCCAAUCGUGCCACAAUUGAUGCGUACGAUCCAAAGUACGACCAACCUUAUCCUGAAAAUCUUGCCCAACAAGCCAAAAAUCGUGUCACGAUUGGACGCCCUGAAAACCAGCUCUCGACAUUACCAAAAUUGUGUCACGAUUUCUCUGCUUCCCAACUUUGCAAUUUGAAGACAUACACAACAGUAAUCAUGCUAGCCGGUAUGAAAAUACUUGAGAGAAUCACUACUAAAAAAACUAAAUUUAGUGAGGGAAAUAUAGUGAGGGAAAACGUAAAAUCCCUCUCUAAUUCCGUCACUAAAUUUUGCGACCAAGGAAUUUGUGAGGAAUUUCAUUUUUUCCGUCACUAAUUUCCCUCACUAAUUUUGCUUUUUCUAGUAGUGAAUAAUGAUUUCAACGAGUAAAAAUAAAGUUCUUAUAUAAAGAGAUAGAACGAAUAAAAUUUUAAAAAGAAAGUCGUGAAAUGGUUUUGAAUAAUUUGUGCUAAUGUGACACAGAAAUCAAAGGCUCGGUAGAAGUUUGAUGCUAUGCAAAACAAUAAAAUGAUGAUCUAUAUUUGGCAUGUAACAAUCUAGCAUGGAAAAUUGAGGAAAUUCUUGCAGGCAACCACUGUUUGAGGCUAUAUCAAUAGAGAGCUAUGCAGUAGCCAAAAUCACAAGUACAUUUAUUUAUUUUAUUAUGCCAGUGCAGAAUGUUAUCAACCCCAAAGAACUUUAUUAUAUCAUGUUGUAACGACAAAAUGGAAUUACUCAAGAACACCCUCUUGUUAACAACACAAUAAGAACAAAUAGUUGAAUACUGGCAUUCCAUUUUCUAUAAACAAAAAAUUGGAAAUGUUUGACAUUACGUGCCAUGGGUGAAUGUGGUGCACCUGGCUAUAGUAAGUCUCCUUUAAUCCGCCAAUCAAUAAAUAAAUACAUCAGGGAUGUGACAAAUUGUAUUCCAACUCUCUCCUUCCACCUUUUGGUACCUCUGCUUAACUAUUGGACAUUCACGAAUAUACAAUGUAGAAAGGGAGCUCGGAAGACCCUCCUCUGGCAAUCGCUCAAGACAAGGAUAAUAUUCAAUGUAAGAGUCUGAGAGAUUUGAGAUUAAGAAGACCCUUGUAGUUUAUUAUUCUUAGCUUUGAACAAUUUUCCAAACGAAGAGACUUAAGAGUUGGUGGCAGUAGAUUCUCCUCCGGGAAAGACUCCACAUUCUCAAAGUCGUCACUAACUUUGAAUUCUUUCAGAGAAUUGAGUUCGAACAAACCCCACUCCUCUCUCAAUGCAAUAAGUUCAGGGAAUUUGUUUAUUCGGAGGGUGCUCAAGCUGGAAGGUAAACCUCUUUGUGGAAACAAUUUGAGCUGUCGACAAUCGUACAAAUCUAGAGAAUGAAGAUUGGUGAACAAGUUCAGUGCAAAAGGCAAGGAUGAGGAACACCAACCAGAUAUAGACAGAGUGCAAAGUGAAUUACAGCUUCGCAAAUCAAAAGAGGGCCAUUCAAGAUUUUCACCAUCGUAAUCACCAACAUACAACUUUUCAAGGGAGGAACUGUUGAACAAAAUUUGCUCUAGAGAGGACUCAAUGACCCGAGUUCCGCCAAGCCAGGCCUUUUUCAAGUUGGUUGGCAAUUCAUUUAUUAAAACAUUUACACAUCCAUGUAACUUUAGGACAUAACCAUUCAUUCCAACCGUACAUGUUAUCAAAUUUCAAACUUUCAAGAGAAGCAAAUGGAACAGUUGAUGAAUUAUAGCCAUAAAACUCUUCACCGAUGAUCUCUAUUCCAUAACAUUCUGAAAUAGAAAGCUCUUUAAGAGAGGGAAGCUUCCCAAGUGGUGGCAACCGGGAACAAAAUCCACAUCUAUUCAGUUCAAGGGAUACCAAGUUGAGUAAAUAACAGUCCCCAAGCCAAUGUGGAAAGCCUGUGCCUCUGUAGUCCUCGAUGAUGAGACUAUUCAGGUUGCUAUUUGGUUCGAGAACCUCCAAGACAUCCUUCUCAACUAUUGAGCCAUCAGUUGUUCCUUUGUAACCAUAUCUCAUAUGCAAUGCUUCCAGAUGUGUCUUAUCUCUCAAAUUUGCUUCCACAGCAUCUGCACGAUCAGUGACAUUUUCCAACUGUGAAAUACAAAGUGUUUCUCGAAGAUGGUUGAGUUUUUCCAAUUCCUUAAUAUCAUACCCACUAUGCUCUCCCACAACAAAAUUUGUCAAAGUCUGAAGAUGGCUUAGCCUUUGUAUUUGCUUUGGCAUCUUCGAGAUAAGAGUGCUUUCUAGAUUAAGAUGGCGUAAAUUGACGAGUUUAUAAAAAUCUGAAGGGAGCUCCGUCAAUUUACAUCCUAGCAAUAAGAGUGUCUGCAAAUUAUACAACACAUAAAUGGAAUCAGGUAGGCUUGUAAUCCCAGUGUAAGAAAGGUCUAGAUAACGCAGAAGCUUAAGUUGCUGAUCUCGUCAGCUAGCUCGGAGAGAUUAUUACAACCAUAGAAUGUUAACAUACGCAGAUAUUUUAGAUUUGAAAACAGAUCAAUUUUCACAUUCUUGCAUAUCUUGAAGCGUUGGUCAUUAUAGAAUUAUACUUCUACCUUCAGAUUGUGUAAUCCCUUGAAGAGAUAAUUUUGCUUGUAAAGAUUCUUAUCAGAAAGUUUUCCUAUGAGGAAAUUGAAGAAUGGCUACCUGGGGUUUAACUUUGUAUGGAUUAUUGGAAUCUCAUAACUUCUUGUUAUUAUGGAGCUGGACAACAUAUUGAUGCUUUGAAUUCUCUAAGGAAGUCCUUACACAAACAUGCUACCAGAAGAAAGUAACAUAAUUGCAGCUGCAUGUAUUUUUGCUGUUUUUGGUGGAUGGAUUUCUCUUCUAUUUCCCGUGGUGAACAUUGUUGGAAAAAAAGACGCAACAAGUUUUGCAUCAUAUUGCCUUAGACCAAAUUCCAUGGCCAAUGAGAUUAUCAUGUUUCUAUGCAAAGCCAUCGCAACUGAUUUUGUCCUUGUUAAUUUUGUUUUUAAUAGCAUCGCGGCUUUUGUUAUUGAAGUUGAGGUGCAGGAGCAGUGUGAACUAAUUGAUACUUUCAGCAAGAUGGAUAUAAAUUUGAGUCUGAUUGCUUAUUUUGCAUUUUUUGGAGCUUAUUGCCAGAGCAGUAAGGGGUUGAUUUGAAUUGUCCCUUUACCAAUCAAAUGGUUCUACAGAAACCUAAUCUAAUCAGGAGCUUACCAAGAUAGACUAGUCCAUCUUUGAUAUACAUAUUUUAUGAACAAAUCCGAGAAACUAAACUGAUUACUAAAUUACAAAAACAAAAUUACAGUUCCAAGUACAAUGGUUAGAAUAAUUCCAUUUUUGGUUACUAUAGAUGGCCAUUAAUUAACAAGUGAUGUGCUAUAACUGAUACGACCUUGUCUGAUGCAAAUGUUUCAAUUCUUUUAGUGCGCUACUUCACAAGACUUUGCCUCUCCUGACAUCAUUAUGACACCCCUCAUGGAUAGUUUGUCAUUGAGGAAUGCAAAUUAUUGUUAUUUUUAGAACAAGUAAAAUUCAUGUGCACGAUUGCACCGAUGUGGAAAAAAUGGCAGGAAACAUUGGUGUGAAAUUCCACCUUGUAUGGUUAGGGUAAGAGUUUUCCUAGAAUAUGUAGGAAGAUAGACUAAAAGCAUCUCUCCUUGAACAUGCUUGUAGUUUUCUAAAUUGGAGUCUAAUGCCUCUUUUGGAGAUGUAUUGUCUAUCUACCUUUUAAUCUACUCUACAAUGUUUAUAGAUUCGUCAAAAUAAUUCAGUAAUUCUACUAUUUUACACAGUUUUGUAGACUGCUUAAGUACUUGCACAAUGGGACCAAGAUAGAUGUCUUAAAAAUCAAAGUGGCUUAGGGUUUCAACUAGAAAUUUUAUAGUGAGCUCAUCAGUGUUUUUAAAACAGGUCUUACAUCAGAGAUCUCACCACCAUGUUGGUAGCAUGCAAUAAUGAGUGUUAGGAACCCACAAUUACCAUCAAUAGAAAAAGAAGCAUUAGAGCUGAAGUUAGUUAGUAGUUAGUCAAUAGAUAGUUAUUAGCUAGUAACCUCUAUAUCUCUAAUAAGAAGCAAAGCAAAGAGGGCAAAAAGAAUGAUCUGGCAGAACUAAAAGUAAAUCCAUAGAAUUCAAAGAGUGCCAAUGAUUCCAAAGCAUAAUGAUAGAACAUUUAUUACACAGUAUAAUCUGUCAUCAUUCUUAAACCUACUUAAUGCCUUGUCCACCACAGUCCAGGCAUUCCCUAACACCCAUCUCAUUCUCUCUAUUUUCUUUCUUACAUAAAUUGCAUCACAACUUUCUGCUACACUUCCUCUUUUAACACCUGCAGUUAAGCACAAAACAGAAUUGAAGUCCUAAUCAGUAAUUCAUCAAUAUUAAUGCCUUUCAUAAAAUAAACAUGUUUAUGAUUCAUAUGUUUGCUUUCUAUCUAACAAAUCACAUUAAGCUGCAUUAGAACAAAAACACACACUUAGUGGCACCAAUUGUUGAGAACAUCAGCAAGAGAAAACCUCUAAACAAGCGGUAGCACAACCACGAAAGAAGUAAGAGACAAAACCUACAUCCACAAGCUCUCACCAAAAUAUUUAUUACUCAACAUGUGCAAUGCACAAAACUACAAACAUUCUCAACUUGAACAGUUGCAAAUUUUACAAUUUUUGCUCAGAAAAAUUUCAAACCCUCUCUCAGUUACAAUUUUUGCCAAAAAAUAACUCUUUUUCUUCUUAUUAUCUGAUGUUGGAAUUGGAUGAAUACCCAACUUAACACAACACCAAAAACAUUCAAAACUUUAAAUUUAGAAGAUAUAAUGAGGUGUGUUCCCGUGACCUUUUUUCAAUUGAUAGGGACAUUGCAUUAUACAUGCAGAGGCCGGGUUCGAACCCCAUACACUCCACUUAUUCAUCUUAUUGGGUGAAUUUCUAACCACUAGACUACUAGACCAAAAAAAAAUGAGGUGUAUAUAUUUUACAGUUUCUUCAAUUUCAAGAAAAGGGCAUGACAACAUAGCCGAUGCAGAAAUGAUUUACAUUAAUGAGUUAAUCAGAUGGGUGUACCUUCCAUUUUCAACAGCUAAUCAGCCAACUAUGUCCACAACUGGGAUAUGACAAAUCGUAUGCCAACGCUCUCCUUCCUCCUUUUGGUACUGCUCCUUAAUUAAUGGACAGUUAAGACUCAACAACUGAUAAAGUGAGUUGGGUAGACCGUCCUCUGGCAAGCGUUCAACACUGGGGCAGUGUAGAAUAUAUAAAUAUCUGAGAGAUUUAAGGUGGAGAAGACCCUUGUAGUUUAUUAUUCUUAACUUUGAACAUCGUUCCAAUUGAAAAGAGUUAAGAGUUGGUGGCAGUAGAUUCUCCUCCGGGAAGGAGUCAACAUUUUCAAGGUCAUCACUAACACUGAAACUUUCCAGAGAAUUUAGUUGGAACAAACCCCACUCCCCUCUCGAAGCAAUUAGUUUUGGGCACUUGGUUAUUCUAAGGCUGGUCAGGGAGGAAGGCAACCCUCCCCUAGGAAAUGACUCCAGUUGUGGACAAUCAUACAAAUUUAAAGUUUUAAGAUUGGUGAACAAGUGUAGUGAAAAUAGAAAGGUGGAGUUCCAGCCAUUUAUAGAGAGUGUGUGAAGAGAAUUAGAGCUAGGCAAAUCCAAAGAGGACCAUUCUAGAUUUGCACUAUCAAAGCCACUAACCUCCAAUUUUUCAAGAAAGGCAUUGUUGAAUAGAAGUUUCUCCAGGGAAGACACAAUGACUUGAGUUCCUUUUAGGAUGACCCGUGUCAAUUUUGAUGGCAUAUCAUUUAUCAAAAUGUUUUCACAUCCCUUCAAAUGUAGAAAACCAAUAUUAGAAGCCUCGGGAAUUGAAGCCUUCAACUCUUCGCAAUCAUUAAUCACCAAUUUUUGCAAAGAAGGAAGGUGUUGAGGUAGAUAUUUUUUCAAUUUGUGACAACUUUCUAUAAAAAGCUCUUCAAGCAAAGGGAAACUUUCAACACAUAACCAUUCCUUCCAACUAGACAUGUCAUAAAAAUGCAAUGUUUUCAGAGACCUGAAUGGACUAUUUGAUGAAUUAAUGAUCUCCACUCUAGGACAGCUUGAAAUAGAAAGCAUCUUGAGAUGGGGAAACAAGCCAAAUUGUGGCAACUUGGAACAAAAUUUACAUCCUCUCAGAUUGAGAGAUGAUAAAUUGGACAAAUGACAACCCCCAAGCCAAUUUGGAAAACUAGUGCCUGGGUAGUGCUCGAUGGUCAGCUUAUUAAGGUUGCUAUUUGGUUGAAGAGCCUCCAAGACAGACAUUUCCCUAUUGAUUUCUCUGUUGCCAAGGGAAUUGUAUAUGAUAUGUAAUUCUUCCAAAUGCUUCUUAUCUUUUAAUGUUGCUUCUACAACGUCUACAGGAUUAAUGACAUUUUCCAACCCUGAAAUACAAAGUUUCCCUUGAAGCUGGUUAAGUUCCGCCAACUCCUUAAUACCAGACCCAUGCUCCUUUACCACAACAAAUUUAGUCAGCGUCUGAAGAUGGGUUAGCCUCCCUAUCUCUUUUGGCAUCUUCUUUAUAUGAGUGCAUUCCAGAUCAAGAUGACGUAAGUUUGUAAGUUUGUAAAAAUCUGAAGGGAGCUCGGUCAAUGAACAAUAUGCCAAUAGUAGUGUCUGUAAAUUAUACAGGUUACAAAUGGAAUCAGGCAACCUUUUAAUCUUUGUGAGAGACAGGUCUAGAUAACGCAAAAGCUUUAAAUUGCUUAUCUCAUCAUCUAACUUUUGAAGGUUACAACGUUUCAAUGAUAACAUCCGCAAACAUUUUAGCUUUGAAAACAAAUCUUGUUGUAAUAUGUCGUAUGUCUUGAAGAGUUGUAUACCGAAGUCUUUAUCCAUGGUAAAACUACGUAAUCCCUUAAUGUUAUAAACAUGUUGUAUCGUUUUAUCACCAUCUUUUAAUUCAGGAGAACACCAAAUGUGUCGUGUCCUUUCGGGGAAAUCUUCCACCCUAUCACCUUCUAUUCGCAAGCAAAAUUCUCCUGCCAUUGAUUGUGCUAAAUCAUUGAUAAGAUCGUGCAUUGUGAACCGCUUAUUAUCACCAUAUCUUGAUUGCUGGAAAAAUGAAAUUGACACUAGAUCAUCUAAUAAUUGAUUACCCAGCUCUUCUUCGCUUUUUUCUGUUCCGCGGCACUUCAGCAAACCGUCGGCCAUCCAAAGUUUGAUUAAUUCACCUUUGUCAAACCACUUGCCUUUGGGAAAUAAGGAACAAUAAGAAAAACAGCGCUUCAGAUUGGAAGGGAGAUGAUGGUAACUCAAUCUCAGUACUGAAUUAAUGUUAAUGUCACCUUCUGAUAAACGCCACAUAUCUGUCUCCAAUAUCUUAACCCAUUCAUGUUGAGAGAAUUUUCUUCGCAAGAGAUUUCCCAAAGUUUUUACAGCUAAAGGUAACCCUCCACACUUAUCUACUAUUUUCUUUCCAAUUGAUUCAAGAUUUGGGUAUUCACUUGCAUUGCUUCCAUGAAAAGCAUGUCGCACAAACAUACUCCAACAUUCACUCUCCUUCAGUUUCUCUAAAUUAAGGUUUUUGGUGGAGUUCAUGACAGUUGCUACCUUCAUGUUACGUGUUGUCACAAUAAUUUUACUUCCAGCAGAUCCAUGGAAUAAGGGAAGUAAUAAGCGCUCCCAACAUUCUUCACUCCCAUUCCAGACAUCAUCCAAAAAAAGCAAGUAUUUCUUGCCUGUUAGUCCCUGCUGCAACUGAUGUUGGAGUAAAUUCAAGUCUUCACCAUCUGCUGAAAAGUCAAAUGACCUCAGAAUUGCUUUAGUAAGUCCGAGACCAUCAAAAAUUUCCGAAACAUAGACCCAGGCUUUAUGUUUAAAAUUCUCCUUGAUCCUUUGGUCAUUGUACACGAGUUGAGCAAGGGUGGUCUUACCCAUUCCACCGAGACCCACUAUGCUGAUUAUUGGUACAUGGUUGCCCUUGUCUAUGUCAGACAGUAAAAAAUUGAUUAACUCCUCCUUGUCACCAUCUCUACCAUAUAUGCUGGAUUCAUCCACCAAAGAUGUAGUUGGCAAUCUAUCUAAGGGUUUCCAACUAACUCCACCUUCACUACUAGCACAAGCGUCUUGUUUUAAUCCAAGCAUAUGCUUUUGUUUUGCAAGAAAUUCUAGCUUCUCUAGCAAUUCUUUGAUCCUAGACUCAAAUGGAUUAGUGAAAGACGAAAUGAAGUCGAAUACCUUGCUAGUAGAAGGUUGAGAUUCAAGUUUCUGCUUCUUCAAUGGUGUAUCAGUUGCAAUCUCAUCUAACAGCUGGUCAACCUCAUAUGCAUAAUGUUUAAGAUCAUCAAGCCACUUCUUCACGUACAUGCUUUGGAACUGCUUCAUCUCAGCUUCUUCCAACACAUGGUUGAUAGAAUUGAGUGUUAUUAGAAGUUUCUCUAGCAGAUUGACAUCAAGUUUGCUUCUACGGAAAUAGUCAAUGAAAUCAUUGGAAGACAAUUUCUCAAGAGCCACUUGAAAAAAUGAUGAAAGAAAUGCUCCACCAACUAACUCUGCCAUGGUUUCUUUUUCUUUUUCUCUCUGUUUUUGUGGAAAUUGAUCAACAAGCCUUAGAGGUUCUCUGUAAGAUGGUAAUUUAUUCUUUAGUUUGUGGAAUUGGAAGAAGAAUCAUGUACUGGAAAAGUAUUAUUAUUGAAUGGAGCUUUUCUUUAUUCAAUGUAUGACAAAUACUGAUUAACUACUAUGUGUUUCUUAGUAGUUUUUUUUUAAUUGAUGACACAAUGCACAAUUAUUUUUCUUAUUUAACAAUAUGGACAGGAGAGCAAGUGUCUUGAUUCCACUAAUUUAAGUCACCUUAACUAAACUAUAAUAAAGCAACAUGCAUAGUUUAUUAUGCUACUUUGAUUAUUUUACAAUAAAGGAAGCUAACCAGAAAUUUUGUAAGGUUUUUAUAUAGCAUGAUGCAAUUAAAAUAGUAAUUUAGAGAAGAAAAAGUUGAAAGAUUACCACUGUCUUUGAUUUGUAUCAUCGACUAAAAAAUAUUGCUUUCAUUUGAUCUCGAAAAGAAGAAGAAUCAAAAUGCUGUGUAUCUUUUAUGUCAUGUAAAGUUUACGUUAGUUGAAUUCCGAGGCUCACCAAAAUCAUAAAGAAUUUGGGCGACAUACUUAUAGAUUAAUAUCAUUUACAAAUUAAAAAAUAUGGAUUAAGCGAUAGUAUAUACUCUUUUGAAUUAAGAUCCGUUGACACAUGUGUUAAACUUGGUGCAUUACACAUUUGAUAGCUUUUUGUAGCAUUCAAAUCAAAUCAAUCUAGUUUUUGAAUCAUGUUAUAUUAUGUCGAUGGCCGUGUAUAUAAUCAACUCCGACAUCAAGUGUUGUAAUUCCUCUCACAAAGCAAUGGAUGCGAUAUACAAGAACAAUUCCAGGAUUUUCUUGAUUCGUGAUGAAUAAUGGAUUGGAAAGAAGAGGGAUUAAGCAUGCGGAAAUGGAAAGAGGAAUGACCAAGAAAAUGUGAGAUAAUUGAAGCAGGGUUUUCUUUCGUCUGAUAUCAUAUCAACAAACACUAAGCAAAAUUGAUGAAACCUCUCAUUCUCGUUAUUGAGUGAAAUGAGUAGUGAUACACCUUAUGUUACUAUAGUAAUUAGUAACUAAUUGGGAAUUAAUCAACUGUAAGCAUGGGCAUAAAUAAAGGUAACCAGAUUCGCAGAAAGAUUACGAUCGGUUGAGUUAUUCAAAACUCAACCAUAUGAGACUUAUCAAUGGGUGUAGCAACAAUAUCAGAGGCAGAAUUCAAAACCUCUACAAGAAUCCUUUUUCCUUUGGCAAUGUCAUCCUUCUUGAUUGAUUCCUACAUCAGCACAGAAGUAUUGAAGAGAUUAAUCUCACCCGCAGAGUAGGUCAUUGUUGCAUCGAACCGGCUAAACAAUUAUUUUGUAUCAGUUUCUUUUCUCUACUCUCUUUAUCAUGUUUAUUCUUUGGUUCGAUUGUGGUUUUGCAUUACACUUGGUUGCUAGAUUAGAUCUAGAUCUAUUGUUGUUGCUUGUGGUUUUUUUUUGUUAUUGGUUGUCAUUGAUAUUUUCACCAUGAAUAUAAAUUUCAUUGAUGUGAGAUUUUGAGUUACCGAAUUCAGAACGAUUAAUGCUCACCGUCGGAAAGGAAGAGUAGAUUUGUCAAGGGAGCACCAUGGUUAUUGAUGACAAACCAUCUUACAUUAUUCUUAGGAUGUUUUUCAGUCAUUUUUAUUUAGUUUUAAUCCAAAAUAGCGAAGUAUUAGAACCAUUUCCUAUGAUUUUCGAAAUAUUUUGUAAUGUUUCCUAUUUGAGUCGUGUUAUUUUAGUUUUUCCAUAACAUAGCAAUUGUAGGGUGUUUUAAUAUAAUUCAAGAAGAAAUCAUGCUGAUUGGCAAUGCAAAACAUCUUGAAGAGUUGUAAAGAUCUUGGGAAGACCAUGAAUGAAGAUUCAAGAGACAUCAUAAGAAAUUACAAAGGGAGGAAUUAUGUUCUCAAGUCUUAAGACAUCUUAUAUGGAAGGAAACACCCAAAAGACAAAUAAACGGGCGAUUACACGCAAGAAAACAACACUUAUGCACCUAGGGCAUGAUCCAUGCGUUUGGGGAUGUAAUUCUAGUACUAAGGAUGAAGUUGGGAAGGAGCGGCUUGGUCCCAAUCAAUGACCCCGUCGUGAAAGGCCGAGAAGGAAAGGCUAACCCUGAUGGCUCGUAGCACGUAGUGGUACAUUAGGAAAGAGUGCUCCCAAAGGCAUAGUAAAUAGAGGGAUUACCCGAGUAUUCCUCCUUCACAAAAGGAAAUUCUUCAAGGUACCCGACAAGGAUAUUAGAUCCACCGACUAGAUUGAUUUUCUUCUCUGAAGUCCAUAUACUUCAAAAUAGAUGACAUACUGUAUCCCUUGCGUAUCCUGAACCGAUACCUUCCCGAUACGUAUCAGGAGAGUAUCCGGAGAUUAAAUUUUAUUUUUUUAAAAAAAAUUAUCCGAUACUUUUCUUAUACAUCUGAGAUAUGAGGGAUAGGCGGUAGAAAACCGAUAUGUGCGGGCUACAUGAUGUUUCUAUUAUAUUUGGUAUAUAUAUGUAAUCGACUAAGUAAUGAUGUUUUCUGUGUAAGAUAUAUCAUAUAUGUAAUUGGCUAAUUGUCGCUUUCUUUAGUCCAUAUUUUGUAUUUUGAGUUUUAAUAUGUAGUUUAAAUUCAAUUUUCUAUUGAAGUAUCACAGCCGUAUCGUAUCUUAAAAUUUAAAAUUUUUCCGUAUCGGUGCCGUAUCGUAUCUGUACCGUAUCAUGUAUGCGCUUCAUAGAUUUUCUUGUUACCCAUGGCAUACAUCCUAGCAAAAAGAAAACAAGAACAUGGAGAAAGAAUCAGAACUCAAACCUUACACAAAAUCUAGUUGGGAAUCCCUGCAACAAGGCCAUGUGCAUUUUCCCCCUUUUUACAGUGCACUCGCAAGGAUUAAGAAGCAACCCAGGAAAUAAAAGAAAAAACGCACACAUGGGGAAGACGGGAUAAAAUUGUGAUUUAUGAGGUUGAAUCAAGCAUCAUACAAAACCCACUAUAAGGUUGAAUCAUCCCCACCUACUCAAUGAAUAUUUUAUAUCGGACCUUGUGAUUUGUGAGGUUUUCUAUAUAGACCAUUAUGGUUUGUCAAAUUAUCAAAUCUAUUGCCUGAUUUUUAUGGCUUUACUUUGACCUUUUGAGGGUUUGAUUUGAUCCCCCUCAGGUGUAAUUUUUUUUCACUUUUUUAAUUAUAUUUAUGAGUAAGGUGCCAUAUGAUGGGGUCUUUCUGAGUUGCCAACCUAGUUUCGAUUUCUAAGUCUCCCCUUAUGCCUAUCAUUUUUCUUAGUUUAUCAUAAAAAGAACGAUUUAAUAAAAAAAAAAUAUUGAUCCUACCAUUUGGUAUACUUGUGCACAAAUAUGUUCUCACCCCAAUGUUGUAUACUUAGCGACACAUCAAAAGUCAUAACAAAUUAUUUUGAACGAAUCGAAUGAAUUAUUUUUUAGAGGAAAAAGGAAUUGAAGGUAAUUGAUGAUCACCAUUAAGGAAUUGAAGGUAAAUGUGCUAUUAUCUUUAACCAUGCAUAUUAUCUAAUCAACUAAAAUCAAUGCAUAUAAUUUUCAUUCAAAAUAUAAUUCUUGUAGUAUUAAUGUAUGAUUAAAUGGACAUUUUUUCUUGUAACCAAAUAAAAAAAUUGAACAUUUCUUAACCAAAUAAAGACCGGUGCUAGUCACACCCUAAAAGAAACAAGUUACACUCCAGAAUGACUAAUAUACCCUUUAACUAAAAUAAAAAUUUCAAAUCAACUAAAUUUACAUUAACUAAAUUGAACAUAAGUAAACUUAAUUUACAUUAACCUAAAUUGAACAUAAGUAAACUUAAUUUACAUUAACCUAGAUUUAACGUAAGGAAACUGAAUUUACAAACUUAAUUUACAUUAACCUAGAUUGAACAUAAGUAAACUUAAUUUACAUUAACCUAGAUUGAACGUAAGUAAACUGAAUUUACAAAUUUAAUUUACAUUAACCUAGAUUGAACGUAAGUAAACUGAAUUUACAUUAACCUAGAUUGAACGUAAGUAAACUGAAUUUACAGUAACCUCUUAUAUACACACGUAAACUAAAUUUACAUUAACCUAAAUUGAACAUAAGUAAACUUAAUUUACAUUAACCUAGAUUGAAUGUAAGUAAACUGAAUUUACACUAACCUAAAUUGAACAUACGUAAACUUGAAUUUACAUUAACCUACAUAUGUAAACUACACUAACCCCUUUUAUAUACAUACACGUAAACUUAAUUUACACUAAUCUCUCACUUAAAAUCAAAUUGACAGGCAUAUGUCAUACCAAAACAAACAAUAAACAAAUAGAAACUCAUCGAAAAUGAAAUUCAUGAAAUCCACUAACCUUUAUGAAUAUAGUACAGAUCAAUAACAAAGAUGUUGAUUCAGAUAUUGGUUGCACAUCUACGGUGAUUUGUGGAUGAAAGGGGGUAAGGGUUCAGAAUGAUCAUAAAAGAUGAGUUUUUAAAAAUUUACAUGAAGAGGGCAAUUUCGGUAUUAUUGUAAAAUUUUAAAUAAAUUUGGGUGUAACUUGUUUUUUUUGGGGUGUGACUAGCACCAGUCCCAAAUGAAUCACGUGUGUCCAAUUUUUUUUAAACAAAAUAUGGCCAAAUAAGUUUGAUUGGAAAAUUUGUCUGGCUUGAUUUAUUUUUCUAAAAAUUAAAACAAAUUUUUGAAAAAUUAUUAUUUUUUAAAUUCUCGUAGGAUAUUAAAUUUUAGUUGCAAAAAGAAAUAAUUAUUUUUGUUGGGUGUGGUUUAAUAUGUAAAAAUUAUUUUUUUUCGAUUUAGUUGAAAUAGGGAAUAGUUACAUGAAUUUUGUUAUCAUAGAAAUCCUUCAAUCAAUAUAUAAAAAUGAGUUAGGAUUAAAUGACAUUAAUGUGUAAAAGUUAAUUUGAUACCAAAUUUUAGCAAUUGAUUUAUUUUAAUCGAAUGAUGAUAUUGAUUCAGUUAAUGAGGUCACAUGAUCAACAUGCUGCCAUCAAGAAAACGAAAAUAAAAUUAAAACACAUUGCAUGAAUAAAGAAAACGAAAACAAAUAAAAUUAUAAACAUAUAUGGGUGAAAACAAUACUUACGCAUCCAUCAUAAUCAUAUAUAUAUAUAUAUAUAUAUAUAUAUAUAUAUAUAUAUAAUGUGUGCGUCACAAUGAAAAUAGAUAGAAAAUAUGUGUGUUACGAUGAAGAUGAAAAUGAUGACCAACAUAUUGACUAUAUAUAGAUUUCAUUGUUCUAAGCCGGAAAAAUUACCAAACUUCAUCUAAAUGAAAAGUGUCCAACUUUUUGGAGUCACAUUAUUUUUAUUUUUGAAUAUUAAUGAAAAACAAACUUUAGAAUGCAAUGUUCCAAAAAAAAUUGAAAGCAAGGCAGUUGUAUAAUGAUAGAAUAGUAAAAAAGAAAUAAAAGAAUGUGAUAAGAAUUGAUUAAAUUACUAUUCAAUUAGAAAAUAAAAAGAAUAUCACAAACUUCAAUUGAUCAAGUAUUUUAUUUUGAUAGUCGAUUUACAAUAAUAAGCAUAGUAAAAAUGAAAUAGAAAAUUGUGAUAAGAAUUGACUAAAUUACUAUUCAAUAAUAAGAAUAUAAAAAACAUGAUCAUAAACUCUAUUUUAUUUUGAUAGUCAAUUUACAACAAUAAGUAUGGUUAGUAACAAUUUACUUGAUGUUCUUGUAUUACACAACGAACAAACCAGACACGUAUAAUUCACGUGACUAUGCUUCAUGAUUCUUCAUAUGAAUUAAUUUAUGAGAUAUCAUCAAAUGAAAGGAGUAAUGAUGAAAGGAGUAAUGAGAUGAAAAUGAUGCAAGUUUGAUCGAAUAUAUAUAUAGGGAAAAUGACAACCAAAUUACUUUUAAACCUUUGAUCAUAAUCAUAAUACAUAAUAAUAUGAUGAUGGAAAAAUUACACAUGUUAGAAUUUGGUUGGCUUAAAAAUAUCAUGUGACACUUGUUAUUAUUUUAUUUUUUUGACGGAGUGACACUUGUUAUUAUUGGAUUGGUUUUAUGAUCACAUUGAAACAUAUGAAAUAGAAGAAGUAUAUAAACUAUUUUCCUUUUUCAUAUUUAAAUUUGUCAUAAAUAAAAAAGGCAGUGCUAGUUAAUAGGAUUUACACACCAUAAACAAUUCAUUUUAGUCAACAAUUUUAUUUUAAUCACUACAAAAAUGAUAAGGAUAAUAGAUUUAGAUGAGAGGAAAUCUGAUGUUAGAAAAACAUUAAAUGAGUUAUUGCAUUUUAAAAGAAAUCAUUGGUGCAUUAAAUAACAAUUUCAAAUUAUGAUUUUUUGCACAACAUUUUUUGUACAUAAGAAAUAACAUUAAAUGAUCCUUUCAUUAUUAAGUUGUCACGUGUACUUUUAAAAAAAAUAGCACAAAUGUAUAUAAUAAAGAUAAAGAUAAAGAUAGAGAUUGAGAUUUAUCCAACCAUCCUCAUUCAAUUCAAUUCAAUUCAAUUCCACCUCCCCCCAAAUUAUGAUGUAUAUUAAUUAUGUUUCCAACAUUAAAGUAGCGUAGCGUGUGUGCGCGUAUUGACCUCACUACUUAAGACUUCUGGAUCUGUCCCUGGAUAAGACCAGAUAUAUUUGUGGUGUGAUUAGAAAAAAGUCAAAUAAAUGCUUUCAUACAUUGAUCAAUGAUUCAAAGUAACGGGUGAGAACAAUAACUAAUAAUAAAUAUAAUAUAGCUUAAAUGUACUUUUAUCCUUCUAUUUUUUUUAAACAUAAAAAUGAAGUUUUGAUCAUUCUAUAUUAAAAUUCAGUUUUUUUUUGUCUCGCUAAUUAACUUUUUUCUUCUUCUGAAUUUUUAUCUCUUGUCUCAUUUUUUUGGUCAUUUUUAUGUUGUUACCUAUUUAUUUAUGAUGUGGCAAGGUUUAUUAGGCCACACUAAAUAUCCAUGUGAGCAAAGUUAUGCCUAUUAAGCAGUGGAAAGUUUCUUUAAAAAAAAAAAAAAAAAGCACUGGAAAGUUUUCUUCAAAACAAAAAAUAAAAAAAGCACUAGGCAAGUUAUAAAUUUAUAAGCCACGUCAUAAAAAACUACCCAAAAAUUAUAAAAGACCAAUAUUCUAAAAAAUGUUCAAUAGGGGGAGCAAAAAACUGAUUUUUAAAAUAGGGAGAUCAAAAACAUAAUUUGAUUGAAAAUAGAGGGAACAAAAGUCUAUUUGAGCCUAAAUAUUAAGUAAAAAAAAAUUAAAUGAUUUUGUAUUUUGUUUCCUAAAUAUCACAAUAAAUAUUUAUAUGUCGAAAUUCCAUGGGAUGCAUGCAUAAUUUUUUUACAUUGAUUGACGAUUGUUGUCAAUCUUCAAAGUUAGCAUAGUGUGAUAAAGUAAUAAUUCUCAAUUGUGAUUCUUAUUGUCCUUAAAACGAUUAAGCUGAGCAACUUUGUCCCUCAACUAUGUGUUCAUUAACUCAUCCAAAUGGUGUGAACUAUAGAGUUGCGUUUUUAGUGAGCUACUAAACAAUGGCAAAUAUUAGGAACCAAUUUUGAUGUAAUCUUUUAUUUAUCAAAUGUACCUCAAAGCAAAUUACUUCAGCCAUUGAACUUAUACAUUAAUUUUGAGAUUUUUGAAUAAUCAAAUUAAUAAAAAAAAAAAUUAAGAAGAAAUUAAUCAAAAUCUUAUGAAAUAUUUGACUUGUCCAUUUUCUUGAGCGUGAUUGCUCCAACUUUCAUUCAACCUGUUUAUCUGCUGUUAAUCUGCCCGUUUCAGUUUAAAUUGGGCGGGAUUGCUCAGUUGGGUCGGUUAGUAUUUUUUGUGUAGCCAGAGUGCAAUCCACCAGCAUGCACGUGUUCAUCCAUGCACACCCUGAUUUCUUCAUAUGUUCCGGGAUAAAUCAAACUUGUCCACAUAGCCUGAACAGAUUUACCAAGGUUGUGUCUAACUCGACAGGUCCCUUUAAACCAUAUUGACCAAAUAUAUAGAAGAUGCUUCUCACGUCGUCAUCAUUGUGGAGUUUUAUCUUGGUGAACCAAACGCAUCUAUUGAAAAACAAUGAUACUCGACACUGGCCACUAUUCUUGUGUCGCCAAAGGAAGGAUGGUCACUGUAGGGAGUGGUCUCACAAGGACAAUCACCUAUACGUAACAAUGAAUUCUCUUCUUCACAUGAACGGGAAAGAAGAAUAAUUCAUGUACUUUUAUUCAAUAAAGAGAAUAAUUAAAUCCACAGAUCAAUCUGUCAUUAGCAUGGACCACGCUUUUAUUGACCAAAUUUCAAUGUAUCAUUGUGAAAUUACAUUUGAUUUUGAUGUCUUAAUUAGCAGAGGUACAUAGAUAUAGGGAGUCAAAAUAAAAGGUUAAAUAUGUUUAGUCCCUAAAAAGUUCAGAGUUUUCAAGUUUAGUCCCUACAUUAAUCUUGUCCCUAUAAACUUGUGAUCUGAGUUAGAUACACAGAAAUUACAGAAAUUGCAAUAUUAAUAUCACAUUCCUAUUUUUUGUCACAAUUUUGUCUUCUCAUUGCACCUACCGAUCUCACUUGUACUGUACGAUUCAGCUGUUUUGGAUAGGUUUACCAUAUCAGUUUGCAUGGUUUCUCAAUACAUGUAUGCAUUGUGUACCUUACUGAAGGUUCUCUAACAAUCAUGCUUGUAAACAAAUUAACCUAUGAACAACGUAAUUGACAUAUAUGAACGUCAAUUAAAUUUCCGGUAUGAAAAUGAAAGAAAAUACUUGAGAGAAUAAUGAUUUCAACGGUUAAAAAUAAAGUUCUUAUAUAAGUAGAUAGAACGAAUAAAAUUUUAAAAAGAAAGUCAUGAAAUGGUUUAGAAUAAUCUGUGCUAAUGUGACACUGAAAUCAGAGGCUCGGUAGAAGUUUGAUGCUAUGUCAAUAGAGAGCUAUGCAGUAGCCAAAGUCACAAAUCCAUUUAUUUACUUUUAUUAUGCCAAUGCAGAAUGUUAGAAACCCUGAGGAUUUUAUUAAAUAAUGUUGCAACGAAAAUUAGAAACCAACAAACUGGUAAUACUCAGAUUACACACUCUUGUUAAGAACACAAGAACAACAAAUAGUUGAAUAUCAUUGUUUCAUUUUAUUUAUGAUUAUACGAAAUGAUUAAGAAAAUGAUCCACAUUUCAAUAAACAAAAAAUUGGAAAUGUUUGAUAUAACAUGCCGUGGGUGAAUGUGGUGCACCUGGCUAUUGUACGUCUCCUUUAAUCCGCCAAUCAAUAAAUAAAUACAUCAGGGAUGUGACAAAUUGUAUUCCAACUCUCUCCUUCCUCCUUUUGGUACCUCUGCUUAACUAUUCGACAUUCACGAAUGUACAAAGUAGAAAGGGAGCUCGGAAGACCCUCCUCUGGCAAUCGCUCAAGACAAGGACAAUAUUCAAUGCGUAGGAGUCUGACAGAUUUGAGAUGAAGAAGACCCUUGGAGUUGAUUAUUCUUAGCUUUGAACAAUUUUCCAAAUGAAUAGUGUUAAGAGUUGGGGGCAGUAGAUUCUCCUCCGGGAAGGAGUCCAUGCUUUCAAAGUCAUCACUAACUCUGAACUCUUUCAGAGAAUUUAGUUCGAACAAACCCCACUCCUUUCUUGAUGCAAUCAGUUCAGGGCAUUUGUUUAUUCGGAGGCUACUCAGGCGGGACGGUAAACCUCUUUGUGGAAACGAUUUGAGCUGUCGGCAAUCAUACAAAUCUAGAGAAUGAAGAUUGGUGGACAAGUUAAGUGCAAAAGGCAAGGAUGAGGAACACCAUCCGGAUAUAGACAGAGUGCAAAGUGAAUUACAACUUCGCAAAUCAAAAGAGGGCCAUUCAAGAUUUUCACCAUCGUAGUCACCAACAUUCAACUGUUCAAGAGAGGAACUGUUGAACAAAAUUUGUUCUAGAGAGGACUCAAUGACACGAGUUCCUCCAAGGUAAGCCUUUUUCAAGUUGGUUGGCAAUUCAUUUAUGAAAACGUUUACACAUCCGUGUAGCUCUAGCUGUCUUAUAUUGGCAGGAAUUGAAGCCUCCAACUCUGGACAAUCGUAAAUCACCAAUCUUUCUAAACAAGGAAGAUGUUGAGGCAGUGCUCUUUUCAAUUUUGGACAUUCUGUUAUUAAAAGAAAUGUAAGAGAAGGGAAGCCUUUAGUACAUAACCAUUCAUUCCAACCGUACAUGUUAUCAAAUUUCAAAUUUUCAAGGGAAGCGAAUGGAACAGUUGAUGAAUUAUAGCCAUAAAACUCUUCACCGAUAAUCUCUAUUCCAUCACAUUCUGAAAUAGAAAGCUCCUUAAGAGAGGGAAGCUGCCCAAGUGGUGGAAACUGGAAACAAAAUCCACAUCUAUUCAGUUCAAGGGAUACUAAAUUGAGUAAAUAACAGUCCCCAAGCCAAUGUGGAAAGCCAGUGCCUCUGUAGUCCUCGAUGAUGAGACUAUUGAGGUUGCUAUUUGGUUCGAGAACCUCCAAGACAUCCCUCUCAACUAUUGAGCCAUCAGUUGUUCUUCUGUAACCAUACCUCAUAUGCAAUACUUCCAAAUGUCUCUUAUUUUUCAAAUUUGCUUCCACAGCAUCUGCACGAUCAGUGACAUUUUCCAACUGUGAAAUACAAAGUGUUCCUCGAAGAUGGUUGAGUUUUUCCAACUCCUUAAUAUUAGACCCACUAUGCUCUCCCACAACAAAAUUUGUCAACGUCUCAAGAUGGGUUAGCCUUUGUAUUUGCUCUGGCAUCUUUGAGAUAAGAGUGCUUUCUAGAUUAAGAUGACGUAAAUUGACAAGUUUGUAAAAAUUUGAAGGGAGCUCAGUCAAUCUACAUCCUAGCAAUAAGAGUGUCUGCAAAUUAUACAACACACAAAUGGAAUCAGGUAGGCUUGUAAUUCCAGUGUAAGAAAGGUCUAGAUAACACAGAAGCUUUAAGUUGCUUAUCUCGUCAGCUAGCUCGGAGAGAUUAUUACAACCAUAGAAUGUUAACAUACGCAAAUAUUUUAGACUUGAAAACAGUUCAAUUUGCACAUUCUUGCAUAUCUUGAAGCAUUGCUCAUCAUAGCCUUGUUCUUCUACCUUCAAACUGCGUAAUCCCUUAAUCUUACAAAUAUUCUCUAAUUUUCUAUAACCAUAUUUCCAAUCAAGAGAGCACCAAAUAUGGCGUGCUCUUUCAGGGAUAUCUUGCACCCUAUCACCCUCUAUUCGUAAAGAAAAUUCUCCUGACACUGAUCUUGCUAAAUCAAUGACAAGAUCAUGCAUGAAAAACCGGUGCUUGUUAUCAAGCCCUGGAUAUAAUGAUUGUUGUAUAAACGAAAUUGACUCAAGAUAAUCAAAAAAUUCAUCACCCAACUCUUUUUCACUCUUUUCUGCUCUAAAACAUUUCAGCAACCCAUCUGCCAUCCAAAGCUUGAUUAAUUGAUCCUUGAAUAAGCAAUUGGCUUUGGGAAAUAUGGAAAAAUAAGCAAAACAUCGCUUCACACUGGAAGGAAAGUUAUGGUAAAUCAAUCCCAAUAUCAGGUAAAUGUUAAGGUUGUUGUCCUCAUCCGUUAAAGGCAACAUAUCUGCAUCCAAUAUCUUGGUCCAUUCACCAGGAGAAAAUUUCAUUCGCAAGAGAUUCCCUAAUGAUUUCAGAGCUAAAGGCGGCCCUCCACACUUGUUUACAAUUUUCUUCCCAAUUGAUUCAAGAUUUGGAUAUUCACUUGCAUUUUUUCCGUGAAAAGCAUGUCUCACAAAUAAAUUCCAACCAUCGCUUUCCUCCAAUUGCUUCAAAUGAACUAUUUGGGAGGAUUUCAUUACUGCUGCUACCUCUUUGUCACGUGUGGUCACAAUAAUCUUACUUCCAAAAGAUCCAUGAUUAAAGGGAAGUAGUAACUGUUCCCAACAUUCCCCACUGCCAUUCUGAACGUCCUCUAUAACAAGCAAAUAUCUCGUGCCUGUUAUUCUUUGAUGCAGCUGUUGUUGGAGUAGAUUCAAGUCCUCUCCUUUUGCUAAAGAAUAACCUAACCUACUAAUUAUUUCUUUGGUAAUUCGAACAGCAUCAAAAAAUUCUGAAACAUAGACCCAAGCUUUAUGUUCAAAAUGCUCUUUAAUUCUAUCGUCGUUAUACACAAGCUCAGCAAGGGUGGUCUUACCCAUCCCACCAGAACCCACUAUGGUGAUUACGGGUGUCCGGUUGCUACCGUCAUUAUCUGAAAGUAAAAACUUUAUGAUUUCCUCUUCCUCAACAUCUCUACCACAUAGGUCCGAUUUGUUCCCCAGAGAUGAAGUCGGCAGUUCUUUUGAGGAUUUCCAGCUGAUGACACCUUCAUUACUAGCACAAAGACUUUCUUUCAAUCCCAACAUUAGCUUUUGAUUCACAAGAAGUUCUAGCAUCUCUAUCAAUUCUUUGAUCCUAGAUUCAAAUGUUGUGUUGGUAACAGGUUCAGAUUCAUCUUUCAGCUUAUUCAGUUGUGCGUCAGUAGCAAUCUCAUCGAAAAUUUGGUCUGCCUCAUAUACAGCAUGUUUAAGAUCAUCAAGCCACUUCUUUACAUAUGUGCUUUUGUACUGCAUUUGUUCUGCUUCUUCCAGCACUUGAUUUAUAGAAUUAAGUGUAAUGCCAAGUUUGUCUGCCAGGCCAACGUCAAGUUUGUAUCUACUGAAGUUGUCCCGGAAAUCACCUGAAGCCAACCUCUCGAGAAUCAUUUCAACAAAAGACGAAAUAAAUGCACCAGCAACCGUCGCUGCCAUGAUGCUGUCCACAAACAAAGGAUCUCGGAUCUGAGCGUGAUGCACAAGCCGUAGGCGUAGAGCUUCUUGCAAGAUGGUAAUAUGUUCUUCUGUCAAUUGAAAUAAUUAAACAGAAAUUACAUAUAAACAAAAUGGGGAGAUCAAUAUCAAACUAGCUCUAAAAAAUUCAAGACAUGGACAGUGAAUUCAAUAGUAUAAACAAAUUAUUUUAAAUUGAAAUUUAUAUUUAAAAUUUAAUUAAUAUGGUAUGUUACAAUCAGUGGACAACAAUUGUUAGAAUUUUUUUAUAACUAUAUUAAAGGUAGUUUGGUCAUUUUAGACUUUAGAAAUUAUAUUCUCUAUUUUUUGUUUUUGUAAUGCUAGGACUUCGUAUUUGGUAGGAGCUAUAGCCUUCUCAUUCUUAUAUUCUUAUUUUCUAUAUCUCUCUUAGCAUGUAUCAAAAAGUAAAUAUCUAAAUACUAAAGGUUGGCAAAACUCUCAUUUAAAUAUAGUUAUAACAAAACUACGUUUAGUCUAGCGGAAAGGACUAGUCUUUCAGAAAGUGGUAAACCAAUAUUCGAAUCCUAUCCAGAAGAGGACCCGUAUUUAUUGUCUGACACAUCUAGAAUAUAAUCACCUUCCGUUGGAGCAACAUAUGGCUAACAAAAAAAAGUAUUUAAAACAAAACUCUCUAACUAACAACUCCAUAACAUAUUGUCACUUGGGUUGGUUGGUGAUGUUGGUUUGGGUUAGUUCGGCUUCUUAAAAAACAAAAACAUAAUGUCUAACAAUUAACUAAAUGAUUUGACUAAAGUGGUUAAUUUGCCAUUGUUAAUGAUAGAUUAUUUGAAAGACCCCGAGUUUAAAUCCUAACUGAAACAAUCCUUAGUCAAGUUUUACUUAUCUCACAACCGAAUUUCAGAUUACUAUGAUCUCUUCCUCUAGGAGGCGGAGGGAGGGCUAAGAAAGAAAAUUCAUACAAACAAUCCAGGCAAUUGAACACAAUCAAGGAUUUCAUAUACUAUUAAAAUAACUUUAGUGUAAUUUUAACAUAUUUUCAAGUGCUUAAAGAACGGAAAAGCAUGAAAAUACCUGAACAAAGUGAGUGAGGGAUCUUCCAAAGGAAAAAGAGUAGAAACUAGUUUCAGGUAUAAUUUGAAGGCAGCACAAAAUAUUUGGAACAAAGGAAUGGAAGAAGGUUGUUGAUCAAGAGAAAUAGAGCAAAAAACACUUGUUUGUAUCAAAAUCCAACACGACUCUGUAUUGUCAGUCUAAUGGAACACACAUUGGAUAUAAAAUACUUUUCAACCAUCUAAUAGGAGCCGUUGGAUAUGACAUACUUUUCAAACAUCUAACAGGAGCCCUUGGAUAUCACACAUUUGAAAAAUAGAAACUUUGUUAUAUUAAUAAUUAAAUUGAUGAUUAAUAUUAUAUACACAUGCCCUAUAAAGAGAGCUUAUUUUAUUUUUAUUUGUCAAAAUUAUUUAAUUGUGGUAUAUGCCAAAAAAAAAUAUAUAUAAUCAGUUCCAAUAAAAUAGAUAUAGUCACAUAAUCAGUUGCAAAAAAGCACUAUAUAAUUACGUGCAAUAAAAAAUGGAUGUGCCCGUCUUUCUGCUAGUGUUUGAUUAAUGGCAAUUCAGCUUGAAUUUGCAUUUCUAACUAGGGAUCAUGAUAGAAAUGCUUCUACUCUUCCAAUGAUAUAAACAAAGCAGUAACCAUCAUUUUGAGUUAAUAAUUCAUAACUAUUAAUAAUAUGCAAGGAUACAAGGAUUUUACAAACAUCAAUAAAAUAAAACCUGCCAUAUCAAACCCCAUCCAUAAUGUUGUCUAUAGCUUUAUAAAGAAUGGAAGCAACAUUGGCAUCAGAUUCAGCAGUAGUAAUAACAGUACUGGUUUUUCCGAUCUCUAUCAAAGCUUUGUAAGGUUCCUCUGUAUGAACUAGACAAACAUUUUGCGAUUCAACAUCAUCCUUAAUAAGUUCCAUGGAUGCAUUAAUUCCCAUCUUCGAUAAUUCAGGUAUAAGCUUAUGGUAAUCUGUUAAACCACAACGUACCAAAGAACUAUUUCUUAAGGAAGUUUUUUUGUCAUUAUCCAAGAGCAAGUGGUGUCUACCAUUUUCCAUUAACAGCUUCCCCUUUAACUUUGUAACAUUAAUUCCUUCCUUUUUAAAGGUUUUCCAAUAAAACUGGGAAGCCAAAUCAGCUUCAAUUUUCAACUCUGAACUUUCCUUUUGACAAAAUACUUUUAAAGUUUCAGGUUCGGUACAAUACGAAACUGAGAAAGACUUUUCACAUGAGAAACUCAUCUUCAACUCUGAACUUUCCUUUUGACAAGGUACUUUUAAAGUUUCAGCUUCAGUAUAAUACGAAACUGAGAAAGACUUUUCACAUGAGAAACACAUCUUCAAUCUCAAAUCUUCAGGGAACUACAGAAUAAGAAAAUUAAAAAAAUAAAUAAAUACAGCACGUGUACAAUUAAAAACCAAUAAUGUAGUGUAAGUAAAAUAACAUUUGUACAAUUACCAGAAUAGUCUUUGGCUGCAGUGUCUUAAGCAAAGGUUGAAGUUUUUGCAACCUACAAAUAUGGAGAUCAAAAUACUUCAUUAUGUCAAAUUACUUCCUAUAUUCCUGAGGCUACUCAAUACUUCCAGUAACAUAGAGCCUAGAUCUUUUUCCAGAUUUAGAAAACUAUUUGCAAGAACAUACAUACAUUAUUGGGAAUAUAAGAAGUAACUAAGGUCCAAGGUCUAAGGGAAAGGAAAACCUACCCUAUUCCAGAGGGAAACAGACAUUGAAGAACCUUCAUUUCAACUGGCUUGAAAGGUAAGAGAGCUAGCUCAGGAUUGACCAUAUCCUACAUAAAGUAAACUCAUUGGUUAAUGCAAUUUCAACUUCAUCGAAAGGAUGAAUCUUGCAUGACCAAAAUUUGAAAGAUAGAUUGCUUAAAAGAAAUAAAAUCAAUAAAGGAAUAAAAUGACUCAGAUGAAGCAUUGUUUUGAGGAAUACAACACACCUCAAGGAUAAGCAAAGAUUUUGGAUCACCACACCAUCUUCGAAGCAGAUGGACAAUGGGACCCAUACGAAGACUCCAGUGAGGACAAAAUACAAUGCAGGGUUCUUGCCAAUCCUUUCUACAAGUACAAGCAACACGUCAGUGAGAAAAUAACAACAAAACUGUCAAGCAAAACCAUCUGUCAUUUAUAUAUUCUGAGGCUAUUAAUGAAUACUCAAACUCUUGGUAAGGAAAUACAAAUUUUCCCAAACAAAUAACAUUGUUAGAACACGAGAUUUUGCACUACAAGGUGCAAAAGGACACUAAAUUUGAUUAAUUAUUUCCAUAAUCAACGAUGGUUCUUUAUCAUAGAGAAGAGAAAGGGAAAACAAGAAGAAAAAAACUCUUACAAAAGUUGAUGUGAAUGAAUAUUGGGAACCACGCGAAUCUUUUUCUCUUUUAGGAGCUUGACAUGAUCAAACAACGGUUCCCCAGCAAAUAACUGCAGUACCAGUUAUGAUGUCAAAAGAUGGACCAAAUUCAUAAUUCAUUAAUUUGCUAAUUUUAGUAUGCAGCGCAAAGGACCAAUUUCGUAAUUUAAAAGGUGCGUACUCUUUCUUGCCGCUGUUUAGAAAGCCACUCUGGUAUGAUGUUAAGCAAUGCUAGUAACUCUUCCGCAACUGAAGAAAUUAUAUAGAUCGGAACCUACAAAUUGAAAGUUGAUGAAUACUUCAAAGUCAGCAAGCAGGAAUCUCAGAUUUUGCUACAAAAAUCCUUUUGUAAGUUAUGUUUAUUGACUCUAGUAUAGUUUUCUUGAUUUUGCUACAAAAAAUCAACAAUUUUCAACAAGGAAAAUUUACUACAUCUACAAAACAUAUUACUUAUAUUCCAUUAUAGUUUACUUGAUUUUGAUAAUAUCAUUAAUUUGCAGACAUAUCAAAACAAGAAAGGACACCUCCAUAGCUGAAGCUUCGAGUAAUGUUGCCAUUUCCUCCAAAAGCUGCAAAAUUGUUCCAAGUCGGUUAAUAGGAAUAAGAACUGAGCCACCAUCUUUGACGCACUCAAUAGCACAUGAGCAUAUGAAAACCAGUUUUUCCUUUUCAUCUAAAUUUACAUCGGAGUCGAGACUGAAUCCAUCCGAAUCUUCAAAACUGCAGUAAUAGUCAACACAAAAGUUAAUAUUAACAGAUGAAGAUUUCAAUCAAUUCAAGCUUAUGACAACUUGAAUUCUAGAGCAGCUAAAAGUGAAGUGUCUAGAUACAACUUAGAGUUUGUAGGCUAAUAAUAUUUCAAAAUAUCUUACCUUGGAGGUAAUAACUUAUCAGAAGUUGGAUCAGUGUAAUUAUCCCCAUCCUCGACAUCUUGUGCAUCAAUCAAGGAUGAGAAAUCUGAAUAAAUUAAUGUACUAGUCCUCUGUAGACUGCUGUAAUCAAAAGCCAUUGCAUGAGCAGAAAAGAAGCAAGAGCUUGAAAGAUAAGCAAUAUCGCCCUUUGGACCAUUUAGAGUCCAAUUAGAACUGCCUAUUUCUACGCCAGAGCUGAAUGCUUUUAUAACCAAUGUACCAUUGUAGCAAGCUUCCUGUGCAUAAUUAAGUGUGUUGAUCUUUUGUAUAGAAUCCUUCACAUCAGCUGCACUGAGAAAUUCCACACAUUACAACCUUUAUAACUAAGAUUCGUUAUUAUUUUCAAUGAAUAAAUGGACAGUACACAGCAAAAACAAUUACAUUACAUAACAUAAAAAGCAAUACGACCUUAACUACGUCUACACUACCAAAGACUAUUUAACACAAACAGAACUCCAAUAUUAUAUAUAUAUAUAUAUAUAUAAAAUCCCAAAAUGGGAGUUAAAUGCACCCAUCUCUAACCAGUAUUGAGAUGCAGUGAUUUUGUUAGAGUUUUUAGCAACAAACCUCCCAGCAAUAAAGAAGUAAACAGCAUUUGGAUGUGAAAAUUUUAUAAUUAGUAAACAGAACAUAAUAAUAAGAUAAAACCAGUGUCAAUGGAAUUAAUGGCAAAUCAAAUUUUAUAAGAUUGCACAUUUAUUUGUAAAUAGUCAAAUAAUCAUUCUAUCAAUUAGCAUAAUUAGCUGUAAAUGUAUAUAUGUCAGUUUAGCUAAUUUAUUGGGUUGAAAGUCAACUUGAAAGCUUGUAAUUGCAUUGUAUUUAUAUGAGAAAUCAGAAUGAAGAGGGACACAGUUUUGACCCUCAUUUCUCUUAGUCUCUCUGAGUUUAAACAUCCCUCAUUUCUUAGUUUCUUUGAGUCUAACAUGGUAUCAGCCUAGGUUACAAUCCAAGAACCUAGUCUGUGUCUCGGUUAUUCGUUUCCCAGUCCAGAUUAACCUCUCAUUCUUGUUCAAUACCUAUUUUCAUAGUCACAUGUCUACCGAAAAGCAUGAAAUCUUGGUGGUUCGCCUUAAUGGCAAAAACUACUCAACUUGGGCAUUCCAUUUCGAGAUAUUUGUCACGGGAAAAGAUUUGUGGGGUCAUGUUGAUGGCAGCACUCCAGUUCCUGACAAAGAGAAAGAUAAGGUUACACAUGCCAAAUGGGUAGUGAAAGAUGCUCAAGUCAUGUCCUGGGUCCUAGGUUCUGUUGAUCCAAACAUUGUCCUGAAUCUCCGACCUUACAAAACAGCAGCCACAAUGUGGGACUACUUGAAGAAAGUCUACAAUCAGAACAACGCCGCUCGAAGAUUCCAGCUUGAACACGACAUAGCCUUAUUUAAACAGGAUAGUCUCUCCAUCUCUGAAUUUUACUCUCAAUUCAUGAAUCUUUGGGCUGAAUAUACUGAGAUAGUUUAUGCAGACUUAACUUCUGAAGGUUUAAGUUCUGUACAAUCUGUUCAUGAAACUACCAAGCGAGAUCAAUUUCUUAUGAAAUUGAGAUCUGAAUUUGAAGGUAUUCGGUCCAAUCUCAUGCAUAGAAACCCUGUACCAUCAUUGGAUGCAUGUUUCAAUGAUAUGUUACGUGAAGAACAACAUCUGCUGACACAGUCCAUCAUUGAAGAUCAAAAAGUGUCUACUGUUCCAGUGGCUUAUGUGGCACGAGGAAAGACAAGAAGUCAUGACAUGAGUGUUGUUCAAUGUUUCUGUUGCAAGAAAUUGGGACAUUAUGCUUCAAACUGUCCAGACAAAGUCUGCAACUACUGCAAAAAAGACGGACAUAUUCUGAAGGAAUGCCCAAUAAGGCCACCAAGGAGAAAUGUCACAGCCUUUACAACCUCGGUUGAUUCAUCUAUUCCUAGCAACUCGGUCAAUCCAGCACCGGUUCAGCAAAAUGCUCCUACUGCUUCAUCAUCAGUGACCCCUGAAAUGGUUCAACAAAUGAUCAUUUCUGCCUUCUCUGCUCUAGGAAUCUCAGGUAAAUCCUCUUCCUCAUGGUACUUUGAUUCGGGGGCUUCCAAUCACAUGACCAGCAAUGCCCAAUUUCUUACUAAUAUCAAAAAAUAUUUUGGAAAUCUCAAGAUACAUACUGCUGAUGGAAAUCAAUUACCUAUCACAGCCACCGGUGAUAUUUCUUCAUCUCUAACAAAUGUUUUUGUCUCUCCUGGUCUCACUAGUAAUCUCAUUUCGGUUGGCCAAUUAGUCGAGAAUGACUGUCAAGUACAGUUCUCACAAUCUGGUUGUUUUGUGCAGGAUCAACAAUCAGGGAAGAUAAUCGCGAAGGGGCCUAAAGUUGGACGUCUUUUCCCAAUCCAGUUUUCAUUACCUCAAAGUCUUUCUUUGCCUUUACUUUAUUGUAAUUCUGCUAUUGUUGAUCACCAAGUGUGGCAUAAGCGUCUUGGACAUCCAAACGCAAAUGUACUUCAUGAGUUGCUAAAAUCUAAUUUUCUUGGAAAUAAACACACUCCAUCACUUAAUUCUGUUCAUUUUGAUUGUAUUCCUUGUAAGCUUGGUAAAAGUAAAAUUUUGCCAUUUCCAACACAUCAGUCUAAUGUAACACAACCUUUUGAUAUAAUCCAUAGUGAUGUUUGGGGCGUGGCACCAGUUAUAUCUCAUUCUCAUUACAAAUAUUUUGUAACUUUUAUUGAUGAUUAUAGUCGUUUCACAUGGGUCUAUUUUCUGCGAUCAAAAGAUGAAGUCUUUUCCACUUUCAAAUUUUUUCAUGCUUAUGUUCAGACCCAAUUUUCAUCAAAGAUCAAAAUAUUUCGCUCCGACAAUGGGGGGAAUACAUGUCACACUCAUUUCAGGAAUUUUUGCAAUCUAAUGGCAUUAUAUCUCAAAGGUCAUGUCCCUCAACUCCACAACAAAAUGGGGUAGCGGAAAGAAAAAACCGUCAUUUGCUUGAUGUUGUUCGCACCGUUUUGUUAGAGUCUCAUGUGCCUUCACGGUUUUGGUGUGAAGCUCUUUCCACUGCUGUUCAUCUUAUAAACAGAAUGCCAUCUCCAUCAAUAGGUAAUGAAUCCCCUUUCACUCGGUUAUAUGGUCACCCACCAAAUUACUCCACUCUACGUGUCUUCGGUUGUGUGUGUUAUGUCCACCUUCCUCCAUAAGAACGCACUAAGCUCACCGCACAAUCUGUUGAAUGUGCUUUUCUUGGAUACUCUCCUAAUCAAAAGGGUUUUUUAUGUUAUGAUCCUAACCUUCGUAGGAUUCGAGUGUCUAGAAAUGUCAUAUUCCAAGAAAAUAAAUAUUUUUUUGCAUCACAUCAUGACCUUGUCUCUUCUCCAGUUUCUGUUUUACCAAUGUUUUCUAACUCUCAUUCAGAUCAACAAUCAUCUAAACCUCUCUUGACCUACAAAAGACGUAGUACGGCCACACAUGGGCCCCCUCAAGAUAAUUCCUUGGUUGCUGGUCCAGUAGAAGAACCAGAACCAGCUCCUCUACGACGCAGCUCACGCCAAAGCAAUCCCCCAGAAAGGUAUAUCAAUUGCAUGACAGCAACAUUAUCUUCUAUUCCUAUUCCUUCCUCUUAUAAACAGGUCAUGGAGAAUGAUUGUUGGCAGAAAGCUAUAGAAUCUGAACUUCUUGCCUUAGAAGAAAAUCAAACAUGGGAUAUAGUGCCAUGUCCCUCAUCUGUUAAACCUUUAGGCAGCAAGUUUGUGUUCUCUAUAAAGCUGCGCUCGGGGGGAUCUAUAGAUCGUUACAAGGCUCGUUUAGUUGUGCUUGGAAAUAAGCAAGAAUAUGGACUAGACUAUGAUGAGACGUUUGCUCCGGUUGCCAAGAUGACAACCGUGCGCACUAUUCUUGCUAUUGCUGCGUCACAAGCUUGGCCGUUACAUCAAAUGGAUGUCAAAAAUGCAUUUCUUCACGGUGACCUUCAGGAGGAAGUUUACAUCAAACUUCCUAAUGGUAUGCCUACACCUUCACCUAAUACUGUUUGCAAACUAAAACGAUCUUUGUAUGGAUUGAAACAGGCACCAAGAGUAUGGUUUGAAAAGUUUCGAUCGACACUAAUUGGUUUUGAAUUUAGUCAAAGUCAGUAUGAUCCAUCUCUUUUCCUACAAAGAACUCCUAAAGGCAUGGUGGUGCUGCUUGUUUACGUGGAUGACAUUGUUGUGACUGGUUCUGAUCAAGAUGCUAUUUCUAGGAUCAAAAAUCUGUUGCACUCAACUUUUCAUAUGAAAGAGUUGGGCCGUCUCACUUAUUUCUUGGGUUUAGAAGUGCAUUAUCAUCAUGAAGGUGUUUUUCUAAAUCAACAAAAGUAUAUUCAAGACUUGGUCCAGCUAGCUGGUCUCACAAAUGCAACCCUUGUUGACACUCCCAUGGAAGUUAAUGUUAAAUAUAGAAGAGAUGAAGGUGACCACCUUGAUGAUCCCACUCAAUAUCGCAAACUGGUGGGAAGUCUCAUCUAUGUAACUAUCACUCGCCCAGAUAUUUCUUUUGCUGUACACACAGUUAGUAAGUUCAUGCAAGCUCCACGACAUUUUCAUCUUUCAGCAGUACAACGGAUCAUUAGAUACCUCCUUGGCACCCCAAAGCGUGGUUUAUUUUUUCCUGUUGGUUCAUCAAUUAAACUCCAAGCAUAUAGUGAUGCCGAUUGGGCAGGCUGUCCAGACACAAGAAAAUCUACUACUGGCUGGUGUAUGUUCCUAGGAAAUGCUCCUAUUUCAUGGAAAUGUAAGAAACAAGAUUCAGUCUCAAAAUCAUCCACUGAAGCAGAAUACCGCGCAAUGUCUGCUGCUUGUUCUGAAAUAAUAUGGUUGCGUGGACUUCUAACAGAACUUGGAUUCUCUCAAGAACAACCGACUCCGCUGCAUGCUGACAACACUAGUGCCAUUCAGAUUGCAGCAAAUCCAGUUUACCAUGAACGGACGAAACACAUCGAGGUUGAUUGUCAUUCUAUUCGAGAAGCCUAUGAUCGAAGAAUCAUCAAUCUACCACAUGUCUCAACAUCUGUUCAAACAGCAGACAUUUUCACUAAAAGUUUGACACGUCAGCGGCACAAUUUUCUACUUGGCAAAUUGAUGCUUGUAGAUUUACCAGCAUCAAUUUGAGGGGGGAUGUCAAUGGAAUUAAUGGCAAAUCAAAUUUUAUAAGAUUGCACAUUUAUUUGUAAAUAGUCAAAUAAUCAUUCUAUCAAUUAGCAUAAUUAGCUGUAAAUGUAUAUAUGUCAGUUUAGCUAAUUUAUUGGGUUGAAAGUCAACUUGAAAGCUUGUAAUUGCAUUGUAUUUAUAUGAGAAAUCAGAAUGAAGAGGGACACAGUUUUGACCCUCAUUUCUCUUAGUCUCUCUGAGUUUAAACAUCCCUCAUUUCUUAGUUUCUUUGAGUCUAACAACCAGUGCAUGCAAGAGUGAAGCAUACUGCUUUUUGGAUGUAGAACAUUUAGACUAUUGUAAGUUUGUGACAAAAUGAAAAUUACAUGAAGGGUGUAUCACCUGUACAAGGGCAUCCAACCACCCAACUCCACUCCAUCUUUUCCUACCAAUAUCUCUUUCAAUACUGAAGGAAGUAUUUCAAGUUCUUCCUGUCUCAGCCAUGGGGGGAAAUUAGACUCCUCCGGUCCAUAAAACUGCCUAAAUUCCGCAUGCAUUGAUACAAGAUCCUCCAUCAUUAGCUGGCCUAUUCUUGCUGAUGCUUCAGUUACAUAGAUCUAACCAAUCAAUCAAAAAAUACUAAGCAAACAGUAUUUGAAAACAAAAAUGGGCACAUAGUUCAAUUAAUAAAGGAAAACUACCUUAGCUGAGAAACCCUUCUGUCGAGUAAGAUAGGGCAAUCCCAUAAUACCCAUUGGACUUGAGAUUAAUAUGACAUCAAUUAAAGAUGCAUUCCACAGAUGUAAUUUAUUAACAGUCUUAUACCAAGGUUCUGCAAAAACUAAGUUUUUAGCAUCAAGAAGAUCUUCAAUUUUCUGUCUCUUCUCAUUGUUCUUGCUUUCUUCAAAUGACAAGGCAUCCAAAGAAGUAGGUAUGGGGGGAGAAGGCCAUAAGAGAAGAAAGAUCAAGAGGGCAAUCGAAUAAGAUCCUAACCCCACAAAAAUUCAACAUGUGACAUGGUGGGAAGUGAAAGCCUCUUCCUUUGCUCAAACAUGUCUGCAAAAUGGCAAGGAAGAUAACAAAAAUUUAAAUCAUGAAGAUAAUUUUGUGUAAAAAAACAUAAACAGAAGAUUCCUUCAUAUGCCACUACAGGUAAAAAAAGAUAUAGGUACUCACAAGCUUCAUUGUUGAGGAUGAAAUGGAUAACCACUUGUAGCUUCCGGCAGAAGGUAUCAAUGGCUAUUGGAAAACAAGAAACAAAUUGCGUCAGUUUGCAUGAUCUUCAAUUUCCAGCCUUACAAUUGAGUUUAUCUAGUGAUAUAAGCACUUGUGAGAUUAUAUGGGAGAGUUUAAGGAAAAAACUUAUGAAAACGCUAUAAGUUGUUUUCAGCUUAUUUCCAUAAGCUCUCCAUAAUAUGCUAUAUAAAAAGCAUAUAGCUUAUAAUUUUAUAUGAAAUCAAUUUGAUAUUUUGCUGUAAAAAUAGCUAACACGUUAACACUAAUUUUUACCAUAAGAAUUUAAUUAAGUUAUUUAUCCUAAUACAUUCACCCUAAACUCGAUAUCUAAUUUAACAUUGUGUUCGCUUAUUGAGACAUUUCCUCAAACAGUGUGAGUGCUGAGUUUCACAAUCAAAAAAACAAAUUGAACCCCAAUACCAGUAUUUAUGAAAAACGAUAACUAUUUUAGUCAAAUUGAAACCUCGGUUUGCUCAGAGAGAAAAACGUGAGAAGAAGAGAGAGAAGUCUUACCUGUGGAACCGUCAACAAUGGUGGCGGCGAGUGAGGGAGAAGGCGAGAGGAGGUCGGUUGUUGUGAGAGAAUAGUAGUUUCGGAGAGUGUUUGAGAAUUUUUCUUCUGUCUGCGAAGAGAGAGAGUAGAAAUUGGUGGUGACUGGUUUUAAUUAUUAUUGUUUCUUUGUGAAAGUUUGCUCUUUCAAUUUGUUUAUUUUAUUAAAACCCAAAAGUACAACUAGGGUGGGCAUGGUUCUGUUAACCAUAAAAUCAAACCGAACCGAAUCAAAUUGCUGAAAUGGAUCGGAAAAAUUGAACGGAACCAUUUAAAGUUUGGAAGUAAUCAUACCGAACCAAAGCUAUGGUUCGGUUAACCAUUUGCUUACCUAUUAACCAAACCAAACCGAAUCAAAACAAUUUUUUUUUUUGAGGGAAAAACAAAUAUUUUUUAUCUAAUGAAUAAAACUACUUUUAUAAUUUACUAAAAAAAAUAACAAUAUAAUUAAAAGCUAGAAUAGUUUAUUUCUUCAAAACAACUUAUUACGAUCUUUUUCUUAAAAAACUAGCUUAUUCUAAACAAUUUAUUUUAUGCAAAACUUCUUAUUUUAAAAAACAGCUUAUUUUAAAAUUAGAAUUUUAAAAUAUUUUGAAGAUAAAUAUGCUGAAUAUUUGUUUAAAUUGUUUAAGUUGAAUAAACAUUCAAAUUUUGAAGAUAAAUAUGCUGAAUAUUUGUUUAAGUUGUUUUUUUGGCGGUGGUCGGAGGUUGAACCACGGACCUUGCAUAUUAUUAUGCAUUGUCAAUACCAACUAAGUUAAGUUUACGAGGACUUGUUUAAGUUGUUUAAACAUUCAAAUUAAAAUGUUUGAAAAUUCAAAAAUUCAAAAUAUUACUCAACAAAUGGGAGAAAUUUGAAUUUUUAAAUAUUUUGAAUUUUCAAACAUUUUUUAAACCUUGUAAUAAAUUAAAAAUGGUUAAGAGAAUUGUAUUUUAAACCACGAUUUGACAACAAUUUUAUUGGUGGUGGUCGGUGUUCGAAAUCCGGACCUUGCAUAUAUUUAUGGCAUAUAUUUAUGCAUUGUCCGUACCAACUGAGUUAAGCUCACGAUGAUAAGAUUUGACAACAAUAGUUUUAGGACAUGACACCUAAUCAAUUUUCCUAUUUGUAGUUCCAUAUUUAUUUAUACUAUAUUAUUAAGAAUUAAAAAUAACGUAAGGAUUAUGUCAAGAUUAAGAUUGUUCCUUAAAAAAACAAAAAUUAAGAUUAAGAUUGUGAACAUUAGACUAAUAUAUCUAUCCUCAUAAAUUUUAGCAAAUUUAUUCUUUUAAUGUGAUACUUUAAAUUUUAUAAAUUCACUCAACUUAAUAACAUUUUCCUAUUUGUAGUUCCAUAUUUAUUUAUACUAAAUUAUUAAGAAUUAAGAAUAAGAAUUAAAAAUAAGGCAAGGAUUAUGUUAAGAUUAAGAUUGUUCCUUAAAAAAACAAAAAUUAAGAUUAAGAAUAUUGUGAACAUUAGACUGCUAUAUAUCUAUCCUCAUAAAUUUUAGCAAAUUUAUUCUUUUAAUGUGAUACUUUAAAUUUUAUAAAUUCACUCAACUUAAUAACAAUAUUUUUUCUAAGGAAACUAAAUUAAUCCAUCCAAAUUAAAACUUAAUAACAAUACUAAUGUUAUUUAUUUCUCUACACACAUAAUGUGUGGCUUUUUUUUGGUAACACAUAAUGUAUGACUUUACCUCCAACUAUUAAUGAUAUUGAAAUCAUGUAACUUAUUAGAAAAUAAUAACAUCUAAAUUUACAUAGUAAAAA
rnacentral:lncRNA from 1 species